GUGGCCUGAGAGGCAAAAUCCUCUCAUAUAUCCAUACCUUCACAUAUUUAUAUAAAUACAAUAAAUAAAUAUUAAAAAUUUAUUGCUUUAAGGAAAUAAAUUAAAGUAGCUAACCUAAAGUAAAGGUAUAAAACUACCAACGACACUAAUUCCCUUUUGUGAUGCACGACAAAGAUAUCUAUAAAGUAUUGCAAGUGUUGCUGCAUCCGAAGUAUGUUGACCAACUUUGGACAAAUUCGCAAGCAAAUGUAGAUACAUCAACUUGACUUUGUUGCUCGAUGUAUCAACGGAAAGCAUGCCUCCAAUGAUCUACAACAAGUAAAAACACACCCGUUGUUUAACAUCAACCUCACAACUCGCAUCAGUAAUCAAAGGAAGAUUUGUAAUAUGUUUAAUCAAAAAAGUCAUUAGCAAUCUGCCACCCUAAAAUUCUCGAUCAAUAUCUACCGGUGUCUAACCAAGAAGAUCAACUCUAUGUAUGUGCCACUCUGUAGGGUCCAAGGCAAGAUUUGUUCCCAUCAUAGGUAAUCUAUCGACUGGCAGCCCAUAUAAUAUAGCUACGUCCUACAAUGUAAUUGUGACCUCUCCAAAGUUUAGAUGAAAUGUGUGUUUCUAGUCGCCAUCUUUCUACCAACGCAAUGAUCAUAACGUGAUCAAGCGGCGUAUGUCUAGCUGCAUAUAUACCAUAAAAUCCAACAUCGAGCAAGUAACGACACAUACGCUUUGUGUAAUGAAUUUUUACUUAUGUAGUCCCAAAAGUCACCAUCUUACCGACGACAUGUCAAUGUGUCACAUGUACCAUUAUUUCAAAUAUAUUCACUACAAUGACUAAUCUUUCCUGCAAGGACACUCGAAAUAAAUGAAUUUGGAUGCACAGUAGGUGGUGUCAUAAGACCUAAAAUAUAAAUUAUGUGUUUGUUUAAUUCAAAAAUCAUUGAGUAUGGCAAGCAAAAUAGUGACAUUCACCAAGACUAGCUUAUUAAAAAGCACAAAGGCCAGACUAGAAAAAAAUAAAGUUAACUGAUUUCUAAGAGAACUUUAAAUAAAUCAAUAUUACAAAAAUAUUCUAUAGAAUACUAUUUGUUAUAUUCAUAUUCUAUAAGAAAGAAAACAAUAAUAGUAGCACAAAAAUAUUACAACGAAAAAAAUAAAUGUGAUAAAAGAUUACUAAAUAAAUUUUAAGAGUAACUACAAAUAAUGUAAGCAUAGAGUUACCUUUUUUAAUUUGGAUGAUGAUUAAUGUUCUAAAUUCCCAUCUUUCAAAUAAUAUUGUGAAGUUUAAUUUUUUAGUGUGUUAAAUAAAGCUUGUAGGGUCUUAUCUUGGAGAAAACUACAAUGGUGAAGAUGGGGGACCUCAGGUAAAGUUGAGAUUUUUUUUUAGUAAAGUUGAGAUAAAGUGAACAAUUGACGAAUAUCAUAAUCAUUAUUCCAUUCAAACAUUUAUAACUUUCCCCAUGCAUAAUACAUUAUUACAUAACACACUCAAAAAUCCUGUACAACAUAGCAAACCCUAAUUCCUAGAAAAAGGCAAAACCUUCCUAGUAAUAUUUAUAGUACUCUUUUGCAAAAGAGUUUAUUAGGACACACCAAACAGGAAAAUCAAAAAUUGACUACUAGUGCAUAGUCUUAUUAUUCUUGCAUAUUUUUAUUAGGACACACCAAAGAGGAAACUGGGGAUUGAUGACUAGUAAUAGUACUUGGUCUUAUUAUUCUUAUAUAUUUUUAUUUUAUUAUGCAUCCAAGAUAAUCUAUUGGGUUUUAAGUUCUUGGAAAUCACUAUUAGUAAUCCCAAUAGUUUCAUCUUCAGUUUCCUUGAUCAUCAUCUCAAGGUGCAUAUCAGUAUCAAUAUCAGCAUACUCAGUUGGCAUUUUGUCCCAAUCUAGGGUUGGCUCCCAAGCAACCUUUUUUAUUACAUCUUUGAUUUUAUCAAACAAAAUCUUACUUCCUUCUGCACAAAUAAAAUUCAAACUCCACCAUUUAAUAUUAAAUUCUUUUAAGAAUACUUAAACGCACAAUUGUUUCAAUUUUAAGGUAAUUACGUAUAUAUCUCUUAGUAAGUAUGUAUUAUAAAUUAGUAUUCCAUAAAAAAGGAAAAUAACAUCUAUUUAUUUUUAAAAAUUCUUUUUGUUAAAGUAUUUUUCUAACAAAUAUUUUUUAAGAGUAACAAUUUGCAAAAUACGUUCAUUAAUUUGUGUUUGGUCAAGGUUCCAAAAGUUUCUAAAUACUCUUUUUUCUUAACUAACUUCUAAUAUACCGUUUCUUAUACUACUCAAAAGGAUUUUGUACACACAUUUUAUGCACUUUUAACUUCUCAAAACUUGACUAAACAGACCGAAAUUCACUAAUUAUGUAAGAGAAAAUGACACUGUCGGAGCACAUAUAUACUACUUAGUUUCCUUUUGUUCAAAAAGAAUUAUGAUAAUAUUAUUGUUAAUACUACAACUACAACAUUAUAAUAAAACCAAAAUUAAAGAGUACUAGUAGGAAAUUUGAUUACAAAAAGACACCGGAUUUUUUGUAAAGGGCUUUGAAGAAAUUGAUAACUGGAACGUUUAAUUCUUGGCCUAAUUUAACACCUGCUUCUGCGUAUUUUCAACCGACCUCAUUUGAUCUACCUCGGUUAUCCCUGAUCAGAAUAGAAAUAGGUAUAAAUAUUAGUUAUCUCUUUAUUUUUAAAAUUGGAUAAGAAAAAAUAAGUAUGUAGUUUUAUUUUAAAUGAACAAGUAAACAUGAAAGGAGUUAGUAAUUGUUUAGGUUAAUCACCCAUAGGUUUUAAGAAUUUGUUCCUCAUUAACUACAUGAGCACUUAGCAUAAUUAGACGAGUCUUAUCUGAAAGGCCUUGCAAGUAAAAGGUUCCAAAUAAUGAUAAGUCUAUAACUGUUCCAUAUAGAUAAAAACUUUAACUUAUUUGCAUUCGAUAUUUAUAUCAAAAAUAAAUAUGUAUAAUAUGUGUUUUCCAAUAAAAUGAUAAAUUAUUGUAAAUUAAUAAGCAUUGAAGUACUUAAUUAUAGUAAAUCAAUAUGAUUUGAUGUAAAGUUGUACCUAUUUAAUGCGAAUAAGUAUUUAUUUGUCAAAUUUUAACUUUAAAGGUUUCAUACAUACCUUGAUAUGAUGUGCAAGCUUCCUCAUGUUUUCAACAUGUUCAUGAAGAGGAACAUGACUACUAUUAGGAAAAUCGGGAUCUUAUGAAUCGUUUCCACCAAAAUAAAGUAUGACAAGAGAAGGUUGAAUUUCCUUAUGCCUGUCCCAACAAUGUUCCUUGGGAAAAAUUUUCUUGUAAACCUCAAGAGCCAUCCUUGAGUUCCAACCAAUAUAUCCACGUAAGAAAAUAUCUUCCUGUUUCAAUUAAUAACUAGAUUAAUUUGUAUUAAAAGGGCACAAUUAUCUUGCAUUAGUUGGAUUUGGAAAAGGAUAACACCUCAAAAGAAAAACAAUUUACUCUAAUUCGAGCAUUAGUAAAUGCUCCCAUAGUUCCAAUCCGUGAUCUGAAAGUCCCACAAUAUUAAUUACAACUUCUUAAUUAUUUGAGAUUCUAGAUUAUGGCAAAGAUUAGUUCAAUUCCGCAAUAAAUUUGUCAGUCUUAUGACAGAUAUAAUUAGAGAGACUCUUUAGGUAUUACUCCUUUCGAUCUUUGAUUUUCGUGCUUAUUACAAUUUAUUGAUCAAAAUUAAUUAUUAUUUAAUAAAUUAAAAUAUAAUUAAUUAUUAGCUUCUAUCUUUAUUGAUCUUUCUUAAUAAAUGUGUAGAAAGAUUCACGCAAUGAAAAGAGAGAAGAACAAAUUGAAAUAAAAAUUUGAAUAAUUUAAUCAAAUUACUUUUUGUAGUUAAUAUUUACUUCAACGCAAUGCAAAAUUUUAAAUACAACUAGAUCAUAGUCCAAUUUGUACCUGUAGGGAUGGAAAUAAUCUUAAUGUUAUUGGUUCAUUUGAUUUCGGUAAUUUUAGCUCUAACAAUGUGUGUGUGUUAAUUUUUGUAAAUAUAUAAAUAAUAGAUUUUUCAACGUAGUAAGUUUAACGGAUUGUAAUAAAAUUUCAAACUUAAACCCAUAAAAUUCAAAUUCUAAUUUGUUAAUAUGCAUAUGUAAUUCUCUCUUCUUAGUCCCUCGGUUUCACUUUAUUUGUCGGAGUUGUACUAGGCGUGAAGUUUACGAAGAAAGAAACUUUUUGAAACGUAUAAUUUUAAAAAUAUUACUAUGUCUAUGUGACCAUAAAAAACAUGUUAUUACGAGUAAAACGUAAAUAUAUAAAUUAGAAACACAAAAAGAUGUAUCUAAAGUCUAAAUUUUAAAUUUACCACUGUAAACUCUAUUCACGCAAAAAAUAAGGGUGGAAGAGAUUACCUUACGAGCGUAACAGGUUGUCAGGGUUGCACCCCAACCAUUAAGGAAGUAGCUUAGUUGCACUAUUGAAGAACCAAAUAGGACGAUCAAUGGACGACUUGGUCCAACCAUUCUUUUGUUCUUCCAUCUUUUUUCCUUAACAAACAAAAGAUUUUUCUUUUUGAUGUUGGAAAGAGUUCCAUAGACGUGUUAUUUAUAAUGGUGGAUUGCUACAAAAGGCGAAAUUCAUUCCUCCACGUGCAUAUACAUAUCAGUAUAGUAUUCUCCCAUCUACUUUUACUUGUUUAUGGUUUUAAUUAAAAAUUGAUAUCUACUUUUACUUAUUCAAUUUAAAAAAUUAAGAGAUAAUUUAUUUUUAUACCUAAUUUAUUCUUAUUAUUAAUAUUAUUCAGAUUCCUAUAUAAUGACUUAUACUAAAUAUGACUGAUAUAGUAAAUUAUUAUUUUUAUUAGUUGUUUCUUAAGAAACAUAUCAAAUCAGACAUGGAUAAGUGAAAAUAGAUAGAGAGAAUAAUAUAAUACGUUAUAAUAGUCGUUUUCAGGUUCAAGAACAUAAAUGCAUCAGUACUCCCUUUAAAAAAAGAUAUUUGAUUCAAUUAUAUAAAGUUACGAUGACAACACAUUGAGAAGCAACCUUUAAAUAAUAUAUUAACAAAAAACAUCAUUCACUUUACAAUUGUUCUUGAGAAAUUUUCAGAUUUUCAAAAAGAUUAAUAAUAGCAUCACUACGUACACUUUUUAAGUAGACUGCGAUAACAAACUAAGCAACCAUUAAAAUAUCUUCAUUCAUCCUACUAUGAAAGUCAUUUUUAUGCACUUCAUCAACGUGAAUGUUUUUUUCAUCCUUGAAUGUUUUUUUCAUCCUUGCAGUAGCAUUAGAUUAAAUCUAAAUCAGUUUCAUAAGUAGAAAAACAACUGACCAAGUUUUUAGGAAGAUCCUUAAUUCCUUUUGAAUAGAAAAAUUUGUUGUUACAUUUUUGAACAUAGACAAUGAAACUAUCGAACUAGAAACCAAAAUUCCAAAGCUUGCUUAACACCAAUCCCACUGGAUAAUACUCUAUUAGUUUUAUUAUUCUAUUCUUAUGAAAAUUAGCAAAUAAAUCAAUUGAACUUAAACUAGUUAUAUAAAAGAAUAAGUCAUGAUCAUUUUGAUAUAAUCAUUACAUCAAAAUGAUCAUUAAGUUCUUAAAAUAUGAAACCACUAAUAGCGUAAAGAGAAGCAAGAAACAUAAAGUGUGUGUUUAAUUUAUAUAUUCAAUAUAAAGGAUGACAACAGUUGGGAAUAGAAAUUUAAAAGGUGAAAGUCCAACAGCUUGGAAAUUGAAACUUGUUUAUUUAAUUUUUUUCUUUUAAAAUAAAUAUAAUUGAAAAAAUUGUAAUGCUAUACAAAUAGGAAGGAGAGGGUGGGUUCACACCGCAUAUGCCCCUAUGUGCCAUGGACCUUAAUUUGAUUCUCCCUUUGUUUCAAUUUAAAACUUAAAAAAGUAAUUCAGUGCACUUAAAUUUUUGGUCUAUUUUGUAUGCAAUUUUAUUUUAUAUUUCUGUUGGAGAUUAUUUUCAAGGCUUGAACCCAUGACCUCCUGGUCAUAUGACAGCCACUUUACCAGUUACUCCAAGGAUCCCUUCUAUUUAUUUCAAUUUAUUUGGUGUAAUUUCGGGUAUAACGAUUAAACCAACAAAAUGACAUAAAUGGAGUACUCGUUCACCCUUAUUCUUUAUUUGUUUACCUUUAUUCUUUAUUCGUUCACCUUUUAUUUUCUUUUAUUAUAUUCUACAGAAUUCUAUCUUUUAUAUUCCAACCAUUGAUAUACAUCUAACAGGUAGCUAUAUUCUAAUUAUCUUAGAUUUCUUACUUUAUCCAUCACACAUUAGAUAGAAACAAAGCUCGAAUUUUAAAUUUAUAUCUUUUCGAAUUUGAAAAUAAAAGGCUUAAUUACUUUAGGAAAGAUUAUCUAUAUACAUUAAAUAAAUAUUUAAAUAUAAAUAAGUUCUAGACUAAAGCUAAUAAAUUUUGUUAAAUCGAUAAGUAGAACUACAACAUUAUCCUUGACAUCAAGAACAAUAUAGUGGACUUGUGAAAAUACUUUUUGAUAUUUGUCUAAUAAUUCGGUACCAAAGCCAUGUUUGUCGCACUUUAAAUGAGAUUUAUUGAAUGCAUUGCAAUUAUUCUUCAAAUGUUAAUUCUUGAUUUGCCUUUUAUUUUAUCAUCAUUGGAACAAUAAAGAUAGGUAUUAUUGUUCCACAUAUUAUGGAACCUAUUUGUAGAUAAAAUCUCUUAAUAUAUGUGCUUCUGGUCCCCUUUAUUAAUGAAUCUUGACAAAUUUACUAAAUUAUUAACACUAGUAUCAUUCAUUGCUUAUUAAAUUAUGUUAAUUAAGUUUGUAUUAUUACUUCAUAUUUGAGGGUAACAUAAUUAUUUAAAAUAAUAUAAAUAUAAUAUUUUUACGUACAAGAAAUACACAUUUUAAUUAAUUAAAAAUCAAGUAUAUUUAUUUAUAUAUUAUAAAAAUUAAAAUUAAAAUUUGCUAAUUGAGUGACCAAAAAUAUUAUCAACCUCUAGAUGUAUUUUAAAAAAAAAAAUCACACCUACUUAAUUGGAAUGGUGCUGCCCACCCUAAAAACAUGGGACCAAAAAUAACUUAGGUUGGAGACUUAUCAAAAGCACACCUCCUUAAUUGGAAUGGUUCUGCCAUUUGGAUUUUAGCCUCAAACUACUAACCAAACUAUAGGGGUAAAUAGCAAUACUUUGAUUAAAUUACCUUGUGUAGCAAAUCUAACAUUAUUUUAAGUGGGGGACCAUACUUACCGUCUCUCAGAAGUUACCGUAUUUGAGGUUCCAUUUUUCACGCUUAAAAUCUUUCUCUUUUCUUUAAUUGCUUCUUACUUUAUCAUUUUUCACGCUUUUUCUCAGAUUUUCUCUUUCAAAAUUUGUCCCUUCUUAACAUCUUUUGCACGAUCUGAUAAGGAAAUUGUUCCACAAUUUCAGGUAACUAUUAAUUCAGUUAUUGCAUGUUACCAAUUUCUCAGGAAAAAAUUAAUUUUGUACUGUAAACAAUUUUUUCAAUUCGUCUUUAAGGUUUUGAUUUUUGUAGUUGUUAACGGAGAAUCAACGUGAUCGAAUUUGCUAAAUUUUGUUUUAUUUGUUUUUAGUGAAAUUUUAUGUUUUAUGAGUUGAUAUAGUUGAAAAAGUUGAAUUUUGGAUGAGAAUUGAAAUUGGAUUAUGUUUUGUUGCUAUUAAUGGAGGAUAAUCAGAGUUGAAUAGAUAUUGUAGAUGAUUUUGGGUUGAUUUGUUGUUGAUAAUAUUUUGUUCAUUUGUUUUUCAGUGAAAUUUGAUGUUUUAGAGUUGAUAUAGUUGAAAAAAAAUUAAAUUUUGGAUGAAAAUUAAAAUUGAAUUUUAUUUUGUAGCGAUUAAUGGAGGAUAAUCGGAGUUGAAUGGAUAUUGUAGAUGAUUUUGGGUUGAUUUGUUGUUGAAGAAGACAUGGAGGAAGAGGUAUUUUUCGUUGUAUAUGUAUUUUUAUUUACUAUUAUAUAUUUAGGGAUUUCAAUAAAGCUGUUAUCAAUUUGGGGUAAUAUGUAUUUUUUUGUGAAGCUAAUAUAUAUUUACUGAUCAGCUGAUAUGUAUUUAGGGAUUUUAUUAAAGCUGAUUUGUGAAGAUGAUAGGUUAAAUGUACAUUUUGGGUUAACAUGUUUUUAUUUGUAUUUUUUGUAAAGUUGCUAUGUUUAGUUGUAUUUGUAUGUUAAAUAAAUUUGUUAAGUUGCAUGUAAGGAAAAAUACAUUUAUGUAUGAAUUAUCCAUGAAGAGGUAUUUAUCUAUAUGUACUUUUAUUAUAAUUGAUAUGUAUUUUCAGUAUAUUGAAAUGUUGAAAUAUACAAAUACAUUUGUGGUUAUGGACAUAUUUGCAUCUAUUGAAAUACAAAUACAUUUUAAAAUAAUUUUUCAAUACAGUUUAUGUAGGUUUGCCAUAUAUACAAAUGACUGACUAGAUAUAUAUUUAAGGUAUAUUUAAGUAGUUUGUAUGUUUUAUAGAUACAUAUGCAUUUUUAUUUAUAUUUUUGUUAAGUUCAAUAUACAUUUUAAGGUCUAGGGAAGCAUUUGUAUUUUUAUACAUACAUAUCAAAUUUCAUAUUUAUUUUGCUUUAGUGAUGGUUUUGUAUUUUUGUUUUGUUCAAUAUACAUAUGCAUAUUUAUAUGUAUUUUUUGAUGUGGCGAUUGUGUUUUAUUAUUUUUUACAGUUUAAUAAGGUGUAGUUUUACUUUGUAUAGGUGUCACGUGAUGAAAUACUCAUUGUAAGAAAACUUUGAAGAUUUGCACCACAUAUGUGCUGCUACAGUGAAAAUGAUAUUGAGGAAAGUUUAAAGGCCAUAUUGAUGUAAAAUAUUGAUGUGUUAUUUGUAGAGGAUUUGCCUCAACAACCAAGUGGAAGCUUGUAAGUAUUUUAAUAUUCAUAUACUAAAUUUGUAAGUUUGUACGAAAUAUAUUUUAAUUAUUAUUCAAUAUUUUUUGUAGGGAUUGUGGUUUGUAUAUGAUUAUUUAUGUAGAGUGUCUUUCUUAUGGUCAAGGCGUUUCUUCAACUGAGUUCAAUUCCAACGUACUUCGUACAAGAUAUGUUUCACUAUUGUGGAAUUACGGCAUGAGAAAACAAGAAGCAAAAGCUCAAAGUGACGACGAAGCGCCCUUAAGACCUGUUAAGAAAAGCAAGAUAACUAGCGUCGCAGAAGUACUAGAAGUCUGAUGGUUGAUGAUUUUAUUACAUUGUGUAAUUGACAAGAUUUAAAUGAAUGUUGGUAUUAAUUGUAGAAACUUAUUUUAUGUUUUGAAGUGAAUCAAAGUUACUUAUUUUGAAGUGAAUGAAAGUAAUUCACUUUAGUCUUUUAUGUUGAAUAUGUUUUCAAUAAUUUUAUAGUUUGUGUUUUAUUCCACUGUUCAGUUUUAUUUGUUACAGUGAGAUUUAACUUCAAAAUACAUAUGCAGUGUUCAAAUUUCGCAAUAUAUACAUAUGCAGUAUUCAAAUUUAAAUUAAAAAUAUAUAUGUAGUUAAUAUCAUAUGUAUUUUACUCUUGAUUCAUUUUCUUUCAAAUUUCAAAUUUCGCAAUAUAUACAUAUGCAGUAUUCAAAUUUAAAUUAAAAAUAUAUAUGUAGUUAAUAUCAUAAUAAUUUUGUAGUCUGUGUUUUAUUCCAGUGUUUAGUUGUAUUUGUUAUAGUGUGAUUUAGCUUCAAAAUAUAUAUGUAGUGUUCAGAUUUUGUGAUAUAUACAUAUGUAAUAUUCAGAUUUAACUUAAAUAUGCAUAUGUAGUUAACAUCAUAUGUAUUUUAAUCUUUGUUCAUUUACUUUCAAAAUACAUAUGAAGUGAAUCAAACUUACUAAUUUUGAAGCAAAUGAAAGUAAUUCAUUUUAGUCUUUUAUGUUUAAUAUGUCUUCAAUAAUUUUGUACUCUGUAUUUUAUUUCAGUGUUCAUGUUCUAUUUAUUACAGUGCGAUUUAGCUUAAAAAUAAAUAUGCAGUAUUCAGAUUUUGCAAUAUAUAUACAUAUGCAAUAUUCAGAUUUAACUUUAUUCAUUUACUUUCAAAUACUUUAAAAUACUUUCAUAUUACAAAUACGUAUAAGUGAUCAUAUUUGAAAAACAUCUCAGUUAUCAAAUACGUAUAUCCUUAAACAUAGUAUUUUUCAAAUAAAAAGCAUAUGUAUUUUUCUAUCAAAUUUAGUAAUACAUAACUGUAUUACUAAUUAUUAUUUAUAACACAUUAUAGCAAAUGGUCGAUAAAGGUCUUAUAACACACAAAUGAGUUCAUUAUUAUGAAAAGUGCAAAAGAAAUUAUAAAGAAAGAAUAUGGAGUGCUUCACGAGGACUGGGAUGCUCCCCAUUGCUAACGUAUUUCAACUAAACUACAAAAAAACAUAUAUGUCAGACAUCAAUAGUUACAAUAUACAAUUACAAAAUAAAAAUACAAACAAACUUCUACAAUUAUAAACAUAAAUAACAUAUACUUACAUAGCCAAGAACUCCAACAGAAAAUGCUAUUGCAACAAAUUUGUUAAACAUAAAUUACAAACACAAUCAAAAUUCCCAGCAGAAAAUACAAUAACAAAUUAUUUGUUCAAUGUGAAAUAUGGACAAAGCCACGGCGUCCACAAUCGAACACAACCAAAAUAAAUAUAAUCAAAAUUAUUAGAAAUAUAGAAAUAGUCUUAAAUUCUAAGAAUCAGACCUCCAAAAAAUUUAAUUUGAGCAGCAUAAAAAUUUAAUUUUGAUCACUAUUUUGUUCUAUCUAUUCAAUUUAUUGUUGCAUUGCUUUUAAUUCAAAAUUCGUUCACAAAAUUUUCAUAAAUAAAUUAACGCCAAUAACAAAAAAUUGAAUGAAACAUCAAUAAUGGUUGACAAAAAAAUUUUGAACCGAAAAACAAUAAUGAUUAAAUACCUUCAACAACAGUAAUGGUUAAAUUUGCAAUCGAUUGUUGAAUUCAAACAAAUUGAACUGAAGAAGCUACAAUUGAAUUUGAUUCAACAACAUUAAUGUUUCUCUUUGUAAUUUAUGUUGAGUUUGAAGAAAUUGAAUAGAAGAAAUUUUAGUCAAAUUUGAUUCAAAAACAAUAAUGGUUGAAUUUCAAACUAACGGUUGAAUUUGAACAAUUUUGAACAGAAAAAGGUUCAGUUAUUUUUUUUUUUUUGGAUGAACACGUUAAUGAAAAAAUUUAAAUUUGAAAUUUUGCUUAGUAUUGUUAACUUAUAACGGAAAUCACGUGAUUUAAGAGUUUUUAAUGAAAAGGGAAUCUACACAUUUAAUUCAUGGGUAAUUAUAGCAUAUUUAUCUCAACUACUUUAAGUUAAAUAAGGGCAGCAAAAUAAUUUGUAUAUGUAUUUUUAUAGCAACAAUUUCUUAAAAUACAAAAUACAAGUUGCUAUCCUAAGUAAUUAUUAAAGUGUUGCUAGGAAACUAAUAAUUAUGAUCUUAAGUAUGCUAUUUGUGAAUUUUACCCACUACUAAACUCCUAACCACAAGGUAACAAGUAACACAAUAGAAAGAUCCUAUACUUGGAAAAGUAUAAUUCUAUUUUAUAUGGUGGAGUUUGAUUGUAUUAAUAAAUAUGUGGGUUACUGUUCUAUCUAAAGUUAUUUGGAUUUAAAUAGGCUAAAAUAUGAGUCAUACCCAACAGUUCUAAUUUAACUAAGUUAUUUUAUUUUAUUUAAUUUUUUGGAAUAAUUUCAAAGACCUUCCCUCGUGUUUGGCCUUAUCACACUGACCUUCCUUAUAGUUUACAAUACUACGAUUACCUUCCCUAUUUUAGUUUUUUUAUAACAAUUCCUUUUACUUAAUUAUCGCUAGUUUUAAAAAAUUAUGAUAGGACUAAUUUGUCCAUGUUGAGGCACUUUUAAAAAAAAUAAUUUGCAAGUAUCUAUUCGCAAAAUAAAUUAUCAUUGCCCUUCCCGAUUCUCCAUCAAACUUCCUAUGCAGCAACAAGACAAAAUGAACUCUGAGACUAAAAGCUUGAGAAUGAUCUCAAAACUCCUAAAAGAAAUGGUUCAACUCUUUUCCAUUUCAUUACAUCAAAUUGAUACCCAUUAUUUUUCAUUAUUCAUGCUCUAACGAUUGCAAUUAGUUGUCCCAAUUCCUUGUAUGAAGCAUAUAUGCAUGAAUUCUUAAUUAAUUUUUUCCUGUUAAGUACUGUCUAAAUAAUACAAGUACAACAAUAACAUACCAAAAUCGUAAUAUAAUCCCACCGAGUAUGACCUUGGCAAAGUAGAGUGUACACAGACAUUAUCUCUACUUCAUUGAUAGAGAAAUUAUUUUCGAUAGACAGAAAAAUAACAAUAGAAAAAUAGACAUAGAAGAGUAAGUGCACAAGUAAAAGAUUGAGCAUGUUGCAGAUCAAGAAGGCACUAAAAGGAACAAAAGAAAGAGGUUUCAUUAGUCUUAUUUGAUUUAAUAUUUGCAAAAUGAUGGAGAUUUGUGCUAAUCGGGUGAAUCUAAAAAAUAGACCCAAAUUGGGGUGACUUUCAAAUUUUAGCCCCAAAUAAAAAGGCUUCCUUAAAAUAGCUUUUACCUAUUAACUAAUAUUUUUUGGAUGAAAUUAUCCCUGAUCAAUGGAGUAAAUUACAUAAAUGAUCCUCAUAAUGGAUAACAAUUCCAUAUUUAUAUCUUUCAACUUUUAUUUUUUCUCUUUUUAAUUUUACUUUGAUUUUUAUUUUUUAUUUUCUUUUUUUAUUUUUAAUUUUUAUCAAUCCUUACUUUGUUUCUUUUUUCCUCUCAACUUCUUUUUUUCUUUUUUCUUUUAUAUUAUUUUGAUUUUUUAUUUUUUCUUUCCUCUUUUGUUUUUGUUCUUUUUAGUUUUUCUCAACCCUUAUUUUUUAAUCUUUACACCUCUUAACGUCUAUUUUUAUAUACAAAAAAUUCUUUUUUUCUUUUUAAAUUUUUCUCGAACUUUAUUUUUAUUUAAUCUUCUUUUUUUUUUAAUUUUUAUCAACCUUUAUUUUUUUCCUAUUCUCUCUCAACUUCUACAUUUUCUUUGAUUCUUAUUUUCUAAAUAUUUUUCUUUAUUUUCUUAUUUUUUUGAAAUUUUUAUAAUUUUUGUUCUUUUCUUUGAUAUCUUCCAUUUAAGUUACAUCUCAUGAGCAAGAGUUGACACUAUCACAUCAUAAAAGCAAGACUUAUGACUUUCGAACAACAAGCUACGUUUCAUGGGCAAGAGAUGACACUACUACACUAUGUUUUUAUUUAUGAGAUGCUCUACAACUAUUGUCUUAAAGGCAAGACUUAGCUCAAGGACUUUCAAACUACAAAUUAUGCUCCACGAGAAAGAGUUAACUUUACCACGUUAUGUUUUCAUUUAUAAGAUAUUCUACAACUAUUGCCUUAGAGGAAAGACUUAAUUAGCUCAAGGACAUUCAAACUAUAAAUUAUGCCCCACGGGCAAGAGUUGACUCUACCACGUUAUGUCUUUAUUUAUGAGAUGUUCUACAACUCUUGCAUGCCUUACAGGCAAAACUUAGUUCAAGGACUUUUAAACAACAAAUUAUGACCCACGGGCAAGAGUUGACACUACCACGUUAUGUCUUCAUUUAUGAGAUGUUCUACAACUCUUGCCUUAGAGGUAAGACUUAGCUCAAAGACUUUCAAACAACAAAUUAUGCCCCACGGGCAAGAGUUGACACUUCCACAUUAUAUCUUCAUUUAUGAGAUGUUCUACAACUCUUACCUUAGAGGCAAGACUUAACUCAAAGAUUUCAAACUACAAAUUAUGCCCCACAGGCAAGAGUUGACACUAAUACAUUAUGUCUUCAUUUAUGGGAUGUUCUACAACUUUUGCCUUAGAGGCAAUACUUAGCUCAAAGGCUUUCAAACUAUAAAUUAUGCCCCACGAGCAAGAGUUGACACUGCCACGUUAGGUAUUCAUUUAUAAGAUGUCCUACAACUCUUGCCUUAGAGGCAAGACUUAGCCCAAAAACUUUCAAACUAUAAAUUUUGCCCCACGGGCAAGAGUUGACACUAAAAUGUUAUGUCUUCAUUUAUGGGAUGUUCUACAACUCUUGUCUCAGAGGCAAGACUUAGCUCAAGGACUUUCAAAUAAUAAAUUAUGCCCCACGGGCAAGAGUUGACACUACCACGUUAUGUCUUCAUUUAUGGGAUGUUCUACAACUCUUGCCUUAGAGGCAAGACUUAUCUCAAGGACUUUCAAAUAAUAAAAUAUGCCCCACGCACAAGAGUUGAUACUACCACGUUAUAUCUUUAUUUAUGAGAUAUUCUACAGCUCUUGCCUUAGAAACAUGAUUUAUCUUAAAAAUUUUUAAAGAAUUUCGUAACAACAAUUCAUGCCCUUAAAUUUACUUUGAAGUAAAAAAAAUCCCUUUGCGAAUUAUCUAAUUUUUUAUUUAUUAGCAAAGUAUAUAGAAAUUGAGAGAAAAGAAAAAAGCAAUCAAACAAAAUAAAGAAAUAAAAAAAGAUUGAGAAAAAAAGGAAAGAAAAAAAUAAAGAUCAAGAAAAAAGCGAAGAAUUAAAAAAUUGAGAAAAAUAAAAAUGAUAGGAAAAAUAAAAAUAAAGUUUGAGAAAAAAUGAGGAAAAAAAGAGAACAGAAAAAAUAAAAAAACAAUCAAACAAAACAGAGAAAUAAAAAAAUAUUGAGGAAAAAAAGGCAAGAAAAAAAUAAAAAUUAAGAAAAAAGUGAAGAAUUAAAAAAUUGAGAAAAUAAAAAAUUAGAGGAAAAAGUUAAAAUAAAGUUUGAGAAAAAUGAGGAAAAAAAGAGAACUGAUAAAAAUCAAAAAUAAAAGAAAAAUAAAGGUUAAAGAAAAAUGAAUUAAAAAAGGAAAAAAAUAAAUAAUUCUUGAGAAAAAAGAAAAAAGAGAAAAAAAAUAAAAGUUGAGACAAAUGAAUUAAAACGUGAAAAUAAAAUUAAAGAAAAAAUUAAAAGUGAAAAUAAUAAAAAAUAGAAUAAUAAAAUUAAAGGAAAAAUAAAAAAGUAAAAAUAAUAAAAAAUAAAAUUUGAGAAACAAAUAUGUAUGAAAAGUUUAAAAAUAUAUUCGAGAUGUAGAGAGGCAAAAUGGUAUUUGUAUUAUACUUAAAAGGUAAGGAAGUAUUCUUUAAAGACAUUUCUUAUUGGGGUCAAAUAUCUAAACUCACUCAUAUUUGGGUCUAUGACUGCAAUUUCUCCGUGCUAAUCGGGGCUUUAACGUUGCAUAACUGUGUCUGCAAAAUAAUUGAAGAAACAGUGCAUUAGAAAGGGAAAAUUAGUCCUAUCAUAAUCUUUUAAAUUAAUAUUAAUUAUGUAAAAAGAAUUGUUAAGAAGAAAUCAAAAUAAAAUUUCUUAUGACAUAUCAAAACCAUUUUUUUAUAAAUUAAGCUAAAAUGAGAUGAACAAAUAAUUCGGCCCAAUCACCAUCCAAAUUUCGUGGUAAACAUAUUAUAUUUUUAUGCUAUAAUUUUUCCACCUCGAGAAAAGUACUCAAGUAAGGAUGAAAACUUUGCACCCAGACAAUCAAUGGACGCUGGAAAGGAAGAAUGAUGUAGGCCUUGAUUACAAUAUUGGAUGAUAGGAGGAGGACCAUUGAUGGGCGCUUGAAUAAUAUUUAGUUAAACAUUGGAAAAAAGAGUAUUUGGUGCUUAAAUUAAAUAGGACAAAUAAUAUAAUUUUUGAUGAUUUAGAGUUUAAUCAUAAAAAAAAAAUAUUUUAUAUAAUAUUGAAAAUCUCGAUUUUGGAUUUGUCAAGAUACGUAAAUUAAUUCUUGAUACAUCCAAAGAAUGUACAUUUUUCUUUUAUAAAGAUACAUAAUUAGCUUCAAAUAUAUUUUUUCGAUCUUUAAUCUAUUAAACAUAAUUAGUUUCCUGGUAACAAAGAUACAUAAUUAGUUGAGAUUUUUGUAAUUACUUUAUAUGGAUGGAGAUUUGUAUAAAUAUGAUAAGUUAAGGUGUAUAUUUAUGUUCUUUUUCUAAUUAAAUAAUGGUUGUACAAAAGUUGAAAUUGUGCUUCGGGCAUGAAGUACACUUGAAAGAAAAUUGAACUUUGUGAGAAUCGUUUCACUUGAAAUACUUUUUCUAACUUCAAAUUAUUUGUUUCAAAUUAAAGUUGAAAUGAUGGAUCACAUGAUAAAAUAAAAACUAUUCAUGAAAAAGAAGUUUAGUAUUUGAAUAGUAAAUUUUGUUGGGGAUUUUUCAAAAAUAGCAGCAUUUUGUUAUAAUACUCACUUUCCAUAGCCACAUUUUACAUAAUUAUCAUUUAUAGCUACUGUAUUCGAUUUAUGCCCGUUGUAUUCUGCUUUACAGAUAGUAUGUAUUCAUAUAAAAUAUGAAUACAGUCCCUAUUUAGUCGCGCAAAAAACAGAAUUUAAUAUUUUUAAAAAGAAAAAAAUUUCAAUCACGCUUAUCUAGUUAAACUGAAUAUUUUCUUGCUUAACACUAUCAUUAUCUUUUUUUAUUUUUUUGUAUUUUUCCCUUUUUUUUAAUUUUUCCUAUUUUUAUUUUUUUCAUUUCUUUUCUUUUGUUUUUUUUUUGUUUUUUUCUCUCUUUAGUCUCUAACUUCUGUUUCUCUUUCUUCUUUGAUUUUUUUAAUUUUCUUUGUUAUACUUAUUUUCUUUAUUAUUUUUUCGUUCUAUUAUAUUUUUUGUAUUUUCAAAAAAUAUGACUAGUCAAGAACAAGUCAUGAAUGAUAACGUAAAUACCACAAUUGUUUAUUGUAUUUGUAGUCACAUUGCCAUUUAUAUUUUUGUAUUUAUUGAUACAACUGUAUUUGUAUUUUAAAGUUUGCACUUAUAUUUAUAUUUUAUAGUUCGCAUUUAUAUUUGUAUUUAAUAGUUCGCACUUGUAUUUGUAUUUGUUACUUUGCGUUGUCAUUUAUAUUUUAUAUAAUUCACACUUGUAUUUUAAAAAACUAUUUUGUAUUUGUAUUUUAUAAUUGAUUGCACAUUAUAUUGAAUGAUAUUUAUAUUAUGAUUUUAUUGUGUUUGUAUAUUUAGAUUAUAUAUUAUACUUGUAUUUAUAUUCUAUUUUCUUCAUUACCUUUUUAUUUUUAAGAAAUUAUUUUGUAUUUGUAUUUGUAAGUUGAUUGCAUAUUGUAUUUAGUUAUGACUAUAUACAAUUUAUUAUUUGUAUUUGUAUACAAACAAGUAAGUGCAUUAAUUGUAUUUUUGUGAUUCUAAAAUAUAUAAAUGUGUAAUAUAUCAUUUGAUAUAAAUGUAUUGUUUUGUAUUUGUAUAUCAAAAUUAUAAUUCAUAUUUGUAAAUAAAAAAGUAUCACUUGAUACAAAUACAAUGACAAACAAAUGAAACAAAUGAUUUUACAAAUACAAUAUGUAUUUAUAUAUAUUGUAUGUGUAUAAAAAUUUGAGUUGUAUAUAUUUGUAUGAAUAAAAACAACUAGUAUCAAUAAAUACAAACAAGUAUUCGUUGAAAGAAAAUCAAUCGUUCCUUUUCAAUAAUUUAAAAAUACAAAUGAUAGUCCACACUUGUAUCUGUAUGUUAUAGUCCGCAUUUGUAUUUGUAUUUUGUAGUUCGCACUUGUAUUUAUAUGUUAUAGUUCUUAUUUGUAUUUGUAUUUUGUAGUUCGCAUUUAUAUUUGUAUUUGUUAGUACGCAUAAAUGAAAAGAAGGAAAAAAAUGAAAAGAAAAAAAAAGGAGAGAAGAUGAGAGAAAAAAUAAAAAUAAAAAGGAGAGUAAUAGAAAAUAGAGAAAAAAUAAAAAAAGAAGGAGAUAAGAUAAGAGAAAAAAGGAGAAAAAAUAAAAUAAAAAGAAGGAGAGAAGAUGAGAGAAAAAGAAAGGGAAUUUUUUUUUUAAAGGAGAGUAAUAGAAAAUACAGAAAAAAAGAAGAAGAAAAAAUAAAAAGGAAAAAAAGAAAAAGAACAAAAAAGAAAAAAUGGAAAAAAGAAAAGAAAAACGAAAAAGUGAAAAAAGAAAGAAAACCGAAAAAAUAGGAAAAAUGAAGAAAAAAUUUGAAAAAGAAAUAGAAAAUAGAGAAAAAAAAUACAUGAGAGAGACUAUGAAUUGUAAUUGGGGACAAUUAAUAGGCAAGAGGAUGCUAUGAAUUGUAAUUAAUUGAAAAUUAGGCUUUAAGUGGUAAUAAAAGCUCAAUAGUGGCUAAUAUGGGUAAUUUCCCCAAUUUUUGUGUUUAAUCACUUAUAAAUAUAUGUUAUCUAAUACUCCAUUUGUUUUCUUUUACUUAUCACUAUUUUUUCUAAUUGAAUCUUUAUUUUUACUUGUCAUUUUUUAUAUAUCAAGAAAAAGACAAAUGAAUUUUUUUUAUUUUACUUUUAGUAAUAAUUGUUUAUUCUUCAAACUAUUUUCAAGACAUAUUACUCUAAACGUCAAUUAAUAGAGGAGUUACGCCAAAAUAAUCAUAUUAGUAAUUAUUUUUGUAAUAAAUGUGCAAUGUCAAGAAGUGAUAAGUAAAAGCAAAUGGAGGAAGUAAAUAUUAAAAUAAUCUAUUAUCAUCUAUUUUAAAUAUGUACUUAUAUUUUACUGUUGAAAAUAUUUUAAAUUAUUAUGAAAUAACUAGUAUAUUAAACUCGUCCCUCGUUAUUCCUGGUGGCACUAGAAAACAAAUUUAUGUGAAGAUGUUAGGUGAUACCCAAUGUUUCAUCCAAAGGUGUAAUGUACCAUAAUCAAGCUCUAUCCAAAGCUAUAUUUACAAGGAAAAAAAUACAUAUUAUAGACAAAAUACUAUAUUAAUUACAUGAUAUGGUUAAUGUUUUAAAAAAUUACAAUUCAUAAUCAUUUGGUAGUUAAAAGUCAGUUUUAUUUGUGGGCCCUAUAUACAAAUAUAUUAAGAUUUGUAUAUAUCAAUUUUCUCUCUCAUAUAUUUAUUUUUGGUAUUUUCUUUCUGUUCUCUCUCUAUCCUAUUGACUCAAAAAAAGGCAAAAAUGGAAUAUCAAAACAUAAAAUUUUUUAUGAUAUCUUCUUCAACUAUUUUUUCCUUAAUUUUUUCUCAAAAUCACUCUAAUAUCCUUAAUUUUAAAUUAAAGAAAUGACAACAUUGGCAACAUCAUAAUACAUGAUUAUUCAAGAGAUCUUCUUCAAAUUUUUUCUCCUUAUUUUUCUCUCAAAGUCACUUUAAUAUUACAAAAUAUAAUCCUUGAUUUUUCUGUGAUAAAUCGUUUUUGCGAAUUUUUCAUCACAGAAAAUCAGUUUAAGAUAUUUAUUGACAUUAGAUUUAUUUAUUUUUAAUUUUUAUAUAUUAUAUCAGUUAGUCGUUAAAUUUCUUCGUUGUUCAUAUAUUUUACAAAAAAAAAUAGAAAACGGGGAGCACUCCCCCGUUUUUAUAAUUCUUUUAUUUUAUAAUAUAAAUUUUUAUAUAUUUGUAAGUCACACCCCCAUUUUUUUUGUGGAUGAAUUACCAAAAAAAAAAGGAAAGAAUUUUGCAUCUUCUACCAAGGCGAAAAGGAAAAAAUAUUUAAAGGUAUUUAAAUCUAAAAGGGGGAGCAAUGAAGUUGACAAUGAUUAUGAGGUUUUUUCGUAUAUAUUCUCAUGAAACAGAAUUGUUGGUCAACAUUUUUUGUUUCAAUAUAUAUAGAUACGUAUACUUUUAUUUUGUAGAAUAAUACAUGCAUAUAUAUAUACAGAGUUAUAGUGUAUGUAUGUAUAUAUAGUUUGUAUUUUUGAUAUAUGUAUAUACAAUUUACAUAUAUGUAUAUACAGUUAACUUUCACAUAUACAUUUCGAAGAAUAAUGCAUAUGCAAAUAUAUACAGUUUUAGAGUGCAUAUAUGUAUAUACAUUCAAAUUUGUUAUUAUGUAAAACAUUCAAAUUUGUAUAUAUACAGAUAUACAAACAAUAAACAUAUAUGUAUAUGUUUAUUUCGUUUGCAUAUAUGUAUAUACAGAUAUACAAACAACAGAUUGUCACGAUCCAAAUGACCAUGAGUGGCACCCACAAUAAUCUUCUUGUGGGAGAACCAUCUAAACCGAACCAUUUUCCAAACACUUAGUCAAUAUUAGAUGAUGUUAUUUAAAAUUCAACAUAAUAACAAAUAUUAAGGACUAAUUAUUAUUAAUGUGUAAAUUCAAACAUACUACUUACUAAAAUUCCCAAAACUCGAAAGUCAUCGUACAAGAAUUAAUAACAAAGAUCAUAUCUAAAGUGAUAUACAAAAAUAAAGUAAAUAAAGAAUAUUUCAUUGCCCGAAAGAUGGACAAGAACAAAUAAUAUGACCCAUGGCAGCCUAAAAACGGAGUGCUCAUCCUUGGAUCAAGAUCUGCUAUCAAACUCUAGAGGUGGGGUCAUGUCUGAGCCUAGAACACUUUCUGCACUCAACAAAAGAAGAGUAUAGGGUAGUAUCAGUACAAACCACUAUGUACUGGUAGGUAUCAUAGGCCAACUCAUUUUAAUAGCAUGUACACAAUAUAAAUCAAAUAACAAGUAGACAGGCAUCGUCACCCAACAAAUAUUCAAUGAAUCAACAAUAAAACAACAGGUCAAACAGUGCUCACAAAUAAGUCACAUAACCAUCAAGAGUAUUAACCAUACUGUAAACAUCCAUAGAAAUAACAAAAAUAUGUACACACAUGCUAUGGGACUUAUUUGUGCCCAAAUAGUCAUGACCUGCAGGGAACAAUCUCUGUUCAUGUACCCGUACCGGCGUGGUACCCGAUCCAACAUAAAUAUAAAUGUACCGGCGUGGUACCCAAUCCAACAUAAAUAUAAACAUACCAGUGUGGUACCUGAUCCAACAUAAAUAUAAACGUACCGGCGUGGUACCCGAUCCAACAUAAAUAUAAACGUACCGGCGGGGUACUCGAUCCAACAUAAAUAUAAACGUACCGGCGGGGUACUCGAUCCAACAUAAAUAUAAACGUACCGGCGGGGUACUCGAUCCAACAUAAAUAUAAACGUACCGGCGGGGUACUCGAUCCAACAUAAAUAUAAACGUACCGGCGUGGUACCCGAUCCAACAUAAAUAUAAACGUACCGGCAUGGUACCCGAUCCAACAUAAAUAUAACAAGUAUUAGCAAUGUCAGCUUCACACAACCUCACAGCAUACAACACAAUGUACCAAGUUUACAAGUACACUUAAAGUCAUCAGACAAUUCCAUCAAGUCAAUUUCCAAUAAACAUAUAUACAUGAAUCAACAAUCCAAACAUCAACAAUUUCAAGCAUGUCCAAAUAUCAAUCCAAAAGUAUCCAAUUUAGGAGCAUACACACAAUUAAGUCGAGUCAAAACUCCAAUUAAACAGUAACCUAACUCAACCGAAGAAUCCAAAUACAAGUUAAUUUGCAAGAGCCUUCUCCUUCCGUAAAACUUCUGAAUGUUUCAAAUCUGUCCAAAUACAUAAUCCUCAUGAGAAUACGAAUAUAAGGACACCAAAUUUGUAAAUUAUUACUCGAUUAAUCUCACACCUAGACCUAAAUUGAUCAAAAACCUGUCCAAUUGUAACCUGGUAAUCUAGAAUUAAGGACUCAAUAACUACUAGGAACUACAGGACUUACUAUUCCAUGUACAGGACAUCACUUAUACCCUUUCCACUUGGUAAUUAUUAACCAAAUGAUUAAAUAUCAUUGUUUAAUUAAAUCUCGUGUCCAUCUAUUUACUCCAACUCUCUCUAAAAGCGCAAGAAACAAAUGUUUCUUUAUUCUACUUUAUUUGUCAUGGUAUUCUACCAAAAAUAGCAGUAACCAUAGUACUUAUUCUUAACAGACCCUUACUUUGCCACUUUUCAAUCAUUAAAGCUAAUGAUUGUCAUCAUUAGAGUAUAUAAUUUAACUACUAAUUAAAACUCCUAAUUAUAAUGCACCGGAACCUUAAUUAUAAUGCACCAGAAGCUAAUACUACCUAUCUUAUCCUAACAUAGUUAUCUUAACUCUAAAUAGAGACAUUGUAUGUUUUCCAUAACUAUUGCUACUGUACAUGUUUCUACUAGUACGAAUAGGAACAACUUUAUCAUCCACCACCUUGCAAGCAUCAGGCUAAAAUAAUCCUACUAAUUCCUUGAACUCUUAUAUAAAGGAAGUAACACCUGUAACAAUUAUUCAACUUUCAUUCAUUACAAUUAUAUAAUUGCAUCAGAAUCUUACCUGAAGCUAUUUUGGGAGAAACCCUUCAAGGUGCUUAUGGGGAGAAUUGAACUGCAACUAACCAUCGUGGCUUGUUGCUCCCCAUUAUCCGAUAUUAUCUUUAAAUAGAAAUAGUAAACCUUUUUUACUUAAAUUAAUUCUUGUGUUAGCCAUAUAAGAAAAUAAAUUAAAACUUUUGCACUGUUAAAUUCAUUAUUUAAAAUACCCAAAACUUUGAAUAGACCCUCGAAAUUUAUCGGGACCUCAAGAAAAUAGUUCAAAUAAUAACUUAAAUCACUUCCGUACAUCUCAAAAGUUGAUACUAUUCAUCUCGUGGGUCAUAAAUUCACGUACAUAAAUUACGGGAAGAUCUAAAAUAGGAAAGAUGAGAAAAACUUCACAAAUGACCAAAAGGGCCAUUACAUUAGAUACCAAUUAAACAACCGUUCGUCCCCGAAUGGGCAAAGAAAAGACAAGAAGGAGAAACAAGCAAUUACCUAAAUUAGCAAAAAGAUGUGGAUACUUGCUACGCAUGUUUGCUUUGGUCUCCCAUGUGACCUCCAAUUUUUUCCAAUAGACCUUCACAGACGCAAUCUCUUUAGUCCUCAACUUACGAAUAACCAAAUACGUAGCCGAACCGAUGCGUACCCCUAUCGCCCCAGACUCAAAAGGGUCAAUCAGCAUACAACAACAUAAGGCAUAUUCUUCACCCAUAUAUAUGCAACCGUCCUAUAACGGCUGAUAAAUAUAGGUGCAUACUAGUGUUAGGCGACGUGCAUGCAUGAAUGAAUGCAAAGUACAUAAUAAAUAUCACAACUCAUCGUAACUAUCCUCAUCAGGACCAUCAGUAUUGUAAUCAACCUCCGACAUUGCCAGAUAUCAACCCACCAUCAAUAGUAUCCUCUGGCCUUAUCGGGUAUCAACAACAUCACAAUAAUAUCCUCUGUCCUUGACAGGUAUUAACAUAUCAUCAUAAUAGUCAUUACCGAAUAACAUACAAUAAAAUAUUCAUUAAAAAAUAGUCAUAUCACCAUAGAAUAUCUAUUUAGUCAAUACUUCCCAACUACUCGUUAUUAGCUAACCAACACUUAUUAUAAUAGAAUUACUAGUUUGCUAGCCAUCACAUAACCUCUAUUUACUAGCUUAAACAUUAUCCUUCACAUAAUAUUUAUUCACCAGAUAGCAACUAACCACUAUUUAUUUAAUAGCCAGCAUCUAACAUCUAGUCUAGGUUCAUCAUUAGACCAAAACCGUCAUUUAUCCACCAUUUAUUAUUAUCAACUAAUUAUCUUAUAUCCGUUAAUCAUUACUAACAACACAUUACCACUUGUCACCUAACCAUCUUUUAUUAACCGACAUCAUUCAUUAUCAAACCAUCGUUUACCAACUAAUCCUUGCUUAACUAUUCAUUAGUUAACCAUUUAGAAACUAUUUAAAGCUAUUAACUAGUCACCUCUUAUUACCAACAUCUCUUAUUAUCUAGUCCCAUUAAUACAUUACUCCUCGUUUACCGACUAAUCGCGAUCACAGACUUAGUCAUCAAUAUUCAUUAAUCUUCACCUAUGCUAGACCCGACCUCACCAUAAGUCACGCAUUAACCAUCGCUAGCUACCAGGUUUCAACUAAGCAAGAUUCAUUAACUAAUACAUUAGAUUCUUUGUCAUCAAGUGCUAUAGUCCCCUAAUAGACAACUAGUUACCACGUAGCUUAACCGUUAAUUAGGUAGAACAAUCGUGAGAUCAUAUUUUAGCUAUAACCACAUCAAUUAUUGAUAUAAUACUUAUGGAUGUACCAGAUUUAUGCAUGCCAUCACCAGUAUCUAAUCAAUAAAAUCGUAAGCAACAUACCACAUCUUCCUCCGUUCCAUACCAGAGAGAUGUGUAUAAAAACAUAUAUGUAUUCAUAAACUGUAAUUGUAUCCUUUAUACUGAUAAACACUCCUCGGAUAUUCAAUCAUUAUCAUAACACAAUCCUUUGCCCGUUAAUUUAUCUGAAAUAGUCACAACAACAUAAUCAUGUCCAUAGGCCCAUAUACAUAUCCGAAACUCAUAUCAUUAAUCAUAUUUAUAAGCCAUAACAUAUCUCUAAUCAUCUCACAUAUAGGAGCUAUCUCACAUAUUAAAGGCAUAAUAUAGAUAGACAUGUAAUCGUCUAUAGGAUAUCUUAUAUCUAUAGGUCAUACAUCAUGACUAUGAGGACUAUUACCUCUCUAGGCCAAUUUACAUAUCUAAGAGGAAAUAACAUCUAGAUAGGCCAAACAUCAAGUCUAAGAGGAAAUAACAUCUCUAUAGGCCACAUAACGUAUGUAGAAGGAAUAUCAUCUCUAAAUAACCAAUAUCGCUUUCACACGAAAUAUCAUAACUAUAACUCAAAAUCCAUAACCCGGGAACAUCAAUACAAGUUACCAAGUUACGAAGUAACCUGAUUCUAAGGUUUACUAACCUCAUCUAUGCCUAAUGUCCACAACUAAGUCCACAAGACUUAAUAAAUUUAGGCCUAAGUGGGCCAGACGAUCCCACUUCUAAUCAUCAAUUUUCAUAAUUAAACACGUUGUGCCCAAACUAGUCUAAGGUAUCUAGUUCAUCUUCUAGAUAUCAAGUAAGCCAUAUUCAAGCCUAAGAAAGCAGCUUCAACUAGAAACAAGGUGCUCAAGUUAACUCUACCUAACUUAUGAUUUCAAGACUACCACACUAGCCUAAUAAGACUAAAUAUACAAAUCAUGCUUAAACUACUAAAACCACAUUCCAAACAUAGAUUUACAUCAUAACCACGCUACAACUAAUCUAAACUAGAGAGAGAAAACAAUAGGAUUCAAAAGGGGUAUAAAUAUGCCAUUUUACAGGUCCCACAGAAUUAGAGCCUACAACAAAUUAUCCUCCACAAUAUUAUUAAUAUCUAUCUAAUUAUCAUACCUUAACCACUCAACAAGAAAUAUCCACCAAGUAUCACUUAAGAAAAUAUAAAUCAUGCCAUUUAAUAAUUCAUUUGUUCUCCCAUUCAGGGUCAUCACUAAUUAUUUUAUGAAUGUAACUAAGCCAUUUGAUUUUGCAUUUCCACUAUCAUGAAAAUUACUAUCCUCUAAAAGUGUCAUAUAUCAGCCAACUCCGUGGGACAUGCAAAUGUAUAAUUCAACCACAAGGUCAAGUCAAUAAUAAUUUAUCUUCUCAAAAUUUUUCCUAAUGCAUAAAUCCACAUCUACAACUUAUGUCCUGACAAUCACUAACUCAAAUAUAUUUCAACGACAAACACUUCAUGGUUAAGCCAAAACUCUCUUACAUCACUAACACCAAUUUAAUAUAUAUAGAGUCAUUUUUAUUUCUACCUAACAAUAUUUUUAUUAUGGGCUUUAUUUAACUCUUAAUCACCUCAAGAGUGGUCCCCAAAACACUAGCACAUAAGCAAGGCCAAACAAAAUAAAUCAAUUAUAGUUCAUUGACAGUCUCAUCACCAAUAUCAUAUUCCAGAAAAGUUAUCAAUCAAAUCCUGUAGGUAUCAACAACCUCUUUUAGUUUUAUCACUUUCAUUUAAAACUCAUUAUUUUGCCAAGCAUUAAGAAUUCGUUCAUAUAAGGAACUUAAAGAUAAUGUCACUUAGCUAGUCCUCACAAGGAACCCAUUAUAGUUUCAAUAAUAGAACUGCACAAAAAUUCUACAAUCUCAAUCGCUGGACCACACAAGGAUCCCCAAAUAAUAUCAAAUAAUCAAACUACACAAGAGUCCAUCCAUAACAUCAUUAACAAGAACCUCUCAUUAUGAAAAACACAUAUCACUUCAAUUUUUUUACUCAUGUCACUUUUUCACCAUCUUUCCUCGACAUCACAUUCUCAUACCAUCAAUCUCAUCAGUAUAAUAGUACCAAAAAUAGUAAGUACCAUAGAAUUUCGAGUUUCACAAUAACCAGAAAUCAAAUAAUCCCAUCACAUUUAUCAACAAACACAACUUAGUCAAUUUUCAUCACUUAACAAAAAUAAUUCACAACAAUGAAAAAAGUCUAGCAACACAAGUUUAGUUAAAUAUCAAACAUAAACAAUUAAUAAGUUCACAACUUUCACAAGUUUUAACCUAUUAACAAUAACUUUUAGACCUUAUUAACAAAUACCAAUUGAAAUCUCCUAGAUUUUUAUUCAAAAUUAUUAAGUACCAAUUGGAAUUGUCUAGAUACCAAUUGGAUUCAAUCCAGUAGUCCAAGAUUAGGAUGGGACGACGGAGAGAAAGAAAGAAAAAUUACUUCUACAUGCCUCAUAGCCAUACGAAGAUUGGGUGUGGGGCCCUACACACCAAUCUACGAAACUCUACUUGAUAUUGUUCUUAUUAACAGAUACCAAUUGGAAUCGCCAGAUACCAAUUGAAUUCAAGUAAUAGCAUGUAAGAAAGAAGAAUUUGAAUUUUCCUAGGGCUCUAUAGCCUCUCGAAGAAGAGUACAAACGUCUCUGUAACGUUCCGCAAGACUCUACUAGACAUGUUCUUGUAUGAUGAGAUCGAUGAACCUAGGGCUUUGAUAUCAACUUUGUCAUGACCCAAAUGGCCAUGAGUGGCACCCACACUAAUCUUCUUGUGGGAGAACCAUCUAAACCGAACCAUUUCCCAAACACUUAGUCAAUAUUAGAUGAUAUUAUUUAAAAUUCAACAUAAUAACAAAUAUUUAGGACUAAUUAUUAUUAAUGCGGAAAUUCAAACAUACUACUUACUAAAAUUCCCAAAACCCAAAAGUCAUCGUAUAAGAACUACUAACAAAGAUCAUAUCUAAAGUGAUAUCCAAAAAUAAAGUAAAUAAACAAUAUUUCAUUGCCCGAAAGAUGGACAAGAACAAAUAAGAUGACCCAUGGCAGCCUGAAAAUGGAGUGCUCACCCUUGGAUCAAGAUCUGCGAUCAAACUCUAGAGGUGGUGUCAUGUCUGAGCCUAGAACACUUUCUGCACUCAACAAAAGAAGAGUAUAGGGUAGUAUCAGUACAAACCACUAUGUACUGGUAGGUAUCAUAGGCCAACUUAAUUUAAUAGCAUGUACACAAUAUAAAUCAAAUAACAAGUAGACAAGCAUCGUUACCCAACAAAUAUUCAAUGAAUCAACAAUACAACAAUAGGUCAAACAGUGCUCACAAACAAGACACAUAACCAUCAAUAAUACUAACCAUACUGUAAACAUCCAUAGAAAUAACUCAAAUAUGUACACACAUGCUAUGGGACUUAUUUUUGCCCAAAUAGUCAUGACCUGCAGGGAACAAUCCUUGUUCAUGUACUAGUACUGGUGUGGUACCCGAUCCAACAUAAAUAUAAAUGUACCGGCGUGGUACCCAAUCCAACAUAAAUAUAAACAUACCAGUGUGGUACCUGAUCCAACAUAAAUAUAAACGUACCGGCGUGGUACCCGAUCCAACAUAAAUAUAAACGUACCAGUGUGGUACCCGACCCACUAUAAAUAUAAGGAGUAUUGUCAAUGUCAGCUUCACACAACCUCACAGCAUACAACACAAUGUACCAAGUUUACAAGUACACUUAAAGUCAUCAGACAAUUUUAUCAAGUCAAUUUUCAAUAAACAUCUAUACAUGAAUCAACAAUCCAAACAUCAACAAUUUCAAGCAUGACCAAAUAUCAAUCCACAAGUAUACAAUUUAGGAGCAUACACACAAUUAAGUCGAGUCUAAACUCCAAUUAAACCGUAACCUACCUCAAUCGAAGAAUCCAAAUACAAGUUAAUUUGCAAGAGCUUUCCCCUUCCGUAAAACUUCUAAAUGUUUCAAAUCUGUCCAAAUACAUAAUCCUCAUAAGAAUACGAAUAUAAGGACACCCAAUUUGUAAUUUCUUACUCGAUUAAUCUCACACCUAUACCUAAAUUGAUUAAAAACCUUUCCGAUUGUAACCUGGUAAUCUAGAAUUAAGGACUCAAUAACUACUAGGAACUACUGGACUUACUAUUCCAUGUACAGGACAUCACUUAUAUCCUCUCCACCUGGUAAUUAUUAGCCAAAUGAUUAACUAUCAUUGUUUAAUCAAAUCUUGUGUCCAUCUAUUUACUCCAUCUUUCUCUAAAAGCGCAAGAAAUAAAAAUUUCUUUAUUCUACUUUAUUUGUCGUGGUAUUCUACCAAAAAUAGCAGUAACCAUAGUACUUAUUCUUAACAGACCCUUAUUUUUCCACUUUUCAAUCAUUAAAGCAAAUGAUUGUCAUCAUUAGAGUAUAUAAUUUAACUACUAAUUAAACCUCCUAAUUAUAAUGCACCAGAACUUUAAUUAUAAUGCACCAAAAGCUAAUACUACCUAUCUUAUCCUAACAUAGUUAUCUUAACUCUAAAUAGAGGCAUUGUAUGUUUCCCAUAACGAUUGCUACUGCACGUGUUUCUACUAGUACUAAUAGGAACAACUUUAUCAUCCACCACCUUGCAAGCAUCAGGCUAAAAUAAUCCUACUAAUUCCUUGAACUCUUAUAUAAAGGAAGUAACACCUAUAAGAAUUAUUCAACUUUCAUUCAUUACAAUUAUAUAAUUGCAUCAGAAUCUUACCUGAAGCUAUUUUGGGAGAUACCCUUCAAGGUUGCUAUGGGGAGAAUUGAACUGCAACUAACCAUCGUGGCUUGUUGCUCCCCAUUAUCCUAUAUUAUCUUUAAAUAUAAAUAGUAAACCCUUUUUACUUAAAUUAAUUCUUGUGUUGGCCACAUAAGAAAAUAAAUUAAAACUUUUGCACUAUUAAAUUCAUUAUUUAAAAUACCCAAAACUUUGAAUAGACCCUCGAAAUUUAUCGGGACCUCGAGAAAAUAGUUCAAAUAAUAACUUAAAUCACUUCCGUACAUCUCAAAAGUUGAUACUAUUCAUCCCGUGGGUCAUAAAUUCACGUACAUAAAUUAUAGGAAGAUCUAAAAUAGGAAAGAUGAGAAAAACUUCACAAACGACCGAAAGGGACAUUACACAGAUAUACAAAUAUGUAUAUUUCAUUUACAAACAACAUUCAAAUUUGUUUAUAUAAGCAACAAAUAUAUAAAUAAUAAACAACAAUUUUGAUUUGAAUAUAUGUAUAUUUUGUUUGCAAUAUCGUUUGCAAAAAACAUUCAAAUUUGUAUAUACAGAUAUACAAACAACAGAUAUACAAAUAAUAAACAACAGUUUUGAUUUGAAUAUAUGUAUACUUCAUUUGCAUAUAUGUAUAUAUAGAUAUACGAACAACAUAUAUACAAAUAUUAAAUUUAUGUAAACUAUUAUACAGAUAUACAAAAAAUAGAUAUACAAAUAAUAAAAACAAUCUUUGUAACCUUUAAAACAGAUAUACAAAUACAAUUAUACACUUAUGUUAACAGAUAUAUAGAAAUUCAAAUAUACUAUUAAUAAAUAUUCAUAAAAAAUAUUAAAAGAAUGUCAAUAUGUAUAUUAUGAAAUAUGCAGUAGAAUAAUGAAUGAAUAUAUCACACAAAUUGCAAUUACAAAUGGGAUUUAGAAAAGAAAAAAAAAACUAACACAAACAAGGAUUAUAAUCUUUUAACAACUUCUAUAUUUUUUUUUUCAAAAUUAUGAAAAUAGAAAUUGAAUACAAAAAUUGAAACACAAAAUUACAAUUGAAGUUAUUGUAUACAAAAAUAAUAGUAAUUACAAAAUUGACAAUUUGAAAGUGUUUGAAGUUUAUAUUGUGCAUUCAAUUUCAAAAAUCUAAUUCAAAUCAAUAAUAAAAUCGAUUUUUGUUAUGUUAAAAUUGAAUCAAUUUUUAUUGCGUAUUAGAUUUAAAAAAGUAUUUCAGUAAAUAAAUUCAAGUGAAAAAAUAAUUUACGUAAAUCAUAUAUACCGAAAUUUUGUAUGCACGAAUUACCAACUUUCCCCUGUAGACCACAAUUUUUUUUUUAAAAAAAUUAUCAACUUUUGAGGGAGUAAUUAACACAUAAAUUCAUAUAAAUUGAUCUGUUAUAUCAGAGAAAUAAAUGAAAAGUUGGAGAAGAUUAUGGACAUUUAUUACAUUAAAAAUUCCUUUUUAUCUCUUUUCGUUGUUAUGGACUUUUCCUUCUCUUUUGUAUAUGAAUUGUAAAUAUGAAAUUUAGACUAGGAAGUUAGUUAUAGAUACUCUAAUGAGACUAUAUGUGAAUUUUUGCCUAUUUACAACUAGAUAAUUUUAAGGCCCAUAAACGGGCCCAAUGUACUAAUUACAAGUUUUAAAUUUAUUUUGUAUAUAUGAAACAGUUUAAUACAAAAAUAUUAAUCAAUAUUCUAUUGAUACCUAUAAAAAUUUUAGCAUAAAUAAAAUACUGUAUAUAAAGUUAUCAAAGUCACAAAUAUUUUUAAGUAUUAUUGAUAUCUAUUGUGAAAACAUUUUUUUCUUGUUGUUCUAAAGCACUAAGGCUAAAACUUAAUUUGUUUUUUCAACAUCGCAUAAUGACAUAAAUUUAUUGUGAUAUAAAAUAUAAUUUUAUUUGUUAGAUUGAAUUGAAUUAUACAUGAAAUAUACUAUAUUCAUGAAAGUUAAAAAUCACAUCAUACAUUUAAUAAAGUUCUUAUAGUUUUCCUAACUCCUUUAUUUUAUUUGGAAGAUCUAUUAAAAACAUAGUUCUUGUACCAGGGCCACAAUUGUCUCCCUCUUCUGUCAUGAUGAUAAGUGAAAUGUUAAAAUAUGGAUUCGAGCCAGGAAAGAGUUUGGGAGUGUCUCUUCAUGGUAUAUUUCAUCCCAUACGUUCGAGGGAGAACUUGGGCACUUUUGGUCUGGGUUUCGAACCUAUGGCUGAAGAUCUGAAGAAAGACAAGGAAAGAAAGAAAGAAAUAUGGUCACUCCCUCGCCCAGUGCCUCUACUCAGUAAGUCAUUCAUCAAGAGCAGUGUUGUGGCACCUAUAGAGUUUGAAGCUGAAUUGGUUGAUGACUUCCAGAACCUGUUGAUCGAAGUUGACAUGGUUGAAGCAGGAGAGGGUACUAGUAAGGCAGAUGUGCAAUUCAUAGGUCCAGCUGUCCGGCUCAACAAUUGGAAAGUCACUCUUCUCCCCAUCAGGAGAGAGUUUUGAUAGUUUGUUUUGUUUUUCUUUCUGUUUAUCCGAGUUAUUUUAGGGUUGUAAUUUGGAUUUUAGUUUGUUUAUGUUAUGUGGUCAUUUAUGUUUAAACCUUUCUAUCUUUCCUUUUAAUGAAAUGCAAUAUCUCUUUUGUUUCGUGUCUAAUAUAUUUUGUUUUUGUCCUUUUCUUUAUACAGUUCUCUUUAUACUGAUUCUAAUGACAUGACAUGUAUGCAGAAUUUUCAGCCUGAUCUUAAAAUCCAAACUAAUCAAGAUAUAAUGAAGCAAGAGAGGGAAUAUGAUAAAGAAGAGGCACUAGAGAAAAUAUGCAAAGAGUUGGAACAGUUUGAAGACAAGCCAAAUCCUAAUUUGAAUGAAAUUGAGCCAAUUAAUCUAGGGAAUCAAGAAGAUAUUAGGGAAACUAAAAUCAAUGUACAUGCUUUGCCACAACUAAAAGAUGGAAUGAUUCAAGUAUUAAUUGAUUAUAAGGAUAUUUUUGCACGGUCUUAUGAUGAUAUGCCUGGUUUAAGCACUGAAUUAGUGGCUCAUAAAUUACCAACUGAUCCUGCUUUCCCCCUGUCAAACAGAAGUUAAGGAAGUUUAAAACUGAUGUAUGUAUCAAAAUCAAAGAGGAAAUCAUGAAACAACUUGAGGCCAAAGUCAUUCGAGUGGCUCGUUAUUGUACGUGGUUAUCCAAUGUUGUUCCUGUCCCAAAGAAAGAUGACAAAAUUUGAGUAUGUGUUGAUUACCGUGAUUUCAACAGAGCAAGUCCGAAGGAUGAUUUUUUUUGCCCAAUAUCCAUAUUUUGCUGGACAAUUAUGCUAAACACGAGGUUGCCUCUUUUUUGGAUUACUAUGCCGGAUACCACCAAACAUUAUGGAUGAUGAAGACGCGGAAAAGACGUCUUUAUCACACUAUGGGGGACUUAUUUCUAUCGAGUGAUUUUGUUUGGUUUGAAGAAUGCUGGAGAAACAUACAUGAGAGCCAUGGCCACUAUGUUUCAUGAUAUGAUGCAUAAGGAGAUUGAAGUCUAUGUAGAUGAUGUGAUUAUUAAGUUAAAGAGUAAGGCUGACCAUGUUGAAGAUUUAAGAAAUUUCUUUGAAAGGCUUCGCAGGUAUAAUAUCAAGCUUAACCCGGUAAAAUAUGUAUUUGGAGUUCCGUUUAGAAAGCCGUUGGGGUUUGUAGCCAGCCGUUGGGGAAUUGAAUUGGAUCCCUCAAAAAUCAAAGCCAUUCAGGAUUUGCCCCCACCCAAAAAUAAGACGGAGGUGAUGAGUUUGCUGGGUAGAUUGAACUACAUCAGUAGAUUUAUUGCUCAACUCACAACAACGUGUGAGCCCAUAUUCAAGUGUCUAAAAAAAGUGUUGCGGUUGAUGGAUUGAAAAAUGCCGGGAAGUGUUUUAUAGAACCAAAAGAUAUCUUUUGAAUCCAUUAGUGUUGGUGCCACCUGAGCCUGGCAGGCCUUUGAUUUUAUACUUAUCGGUUAUGGAUAAUUCAUUCAGUUAUGUAUUGGGGCCACAUGAUGUAACAGGAAAAAAAGAGCAGACUAUUUAUUAUCUUAGCAAAAAGUUCACUGCAUAUGAGGCCAGGUACAUUCUUCUUGAAAGGACGUGUUGCGCCUUAACUUGGGUAGCACGAAAGUUGAAGCAUUAUCUUUCGUCCUACACUACUUAUCUCAUCUCUCGCAUAGAUCCUUUGAAGUAUAUCUUUUAAAAGCCUAUACCGAUAGAUCAAUUGGCAAAGUGGCAAAUAUUGCUUACCGAGUUUGACAUUGUAUAUUUGACUCGAUCAACCAUGAAAGGCCAAGCCUUGGCAGAUCAUCUUGCUAAGAAUCCCAUUGAUGAAGAGUAUGUGCCGCUAAAGACAUAUUUUCCUGAUGAAGAGGUAUUCUGUGUCGAGGAAGUUAUUAUAGAUACUGAUGCAGGUUGGAAGUUGUUCUUCGAUGGAGCUGUCAAUAUGAAAGGAGUCAGAAUAGGUGCAGUUCUUAUCUCUGAAUUGGGGCAACAUUUCUUGGUAACAGUGCAACUUCAAUUUUAUUAUACCAAUAACAUGGCGGAAUACGAAGCGUGCAUUCUUAGUUUGAGGUUAGCUGUUGAUAUGGGAAUCUAGGAACUAUUAGUGUUGGGGGAUUUAGAUUUGCUCGUCCAUCAAAUUCAAGUCAAUUGGGAGACGCAAGAUUUGAAACUCAUACCAUAUCAAUAAUGCUUGCAGGAGCUAUGUCAACGGUUUGUAUUAGUAAAAUUUAGGCAUAUUCCAAGGAUUCAUAGUGAAAUUGUUGAUGCUUUAGCCACUCUAUCUUCAAUGCUCCAACAUCCUAAUAAAGCCUACAUCGAUCCAGUGUAUAUACAGAGUCAUGAUCAGCAUGCUUACUGUAAUGCGGUUGAAGAAGAGCUCGAUGGCGAACCUUGGUUCUUUAAUAUCAAGCGAUACAUCCAAUCGGGAGAAUACCCAACACAUUCCACCAAUUAUCAAAAGAGGACCAUUAGGCAUUUGGCUAGUGGAUUUUUCUUAAGUGGGGGAGUUUUAUACAAGAGAACCCAGAAUCUGGGACCUUUGAGGUGUGUAGAUGCAGAAAAGGCUUUAGCAAUCAUGGUUGAAGUUCAUAUUGAAGUAUGCGGGCCUCAUAUGAACGGUUAUGUAUUGUCAAAGAAGAUUCUCAGAGCAAGUUAUUAUUGGCUUACUAUGGAGAGGGAUUCCAUUUGUUUUGUUCAAAAAUGUCAUCAAUGUCAGGUACAUAGUGAUCUGAUACAAUCUCCUCCGCUGAAUUGCAUGCAAUGUCUGCUUCGUGGCGUGAUUGGACCGAUUGAGCCGAAAGCAUCGAAUAGGCAUAGAUUCAUUUUGGUGGUCAUUGAUUACUUUACAAAAUGGGUAGAAGCAGUAACUUUCACAUCAGUAACAAAGAAGGCGGUGGUAGAUUUUGUUCAUGCCAACAUCAUUUGUAGGUUUGGAAUUCCUAAGAUGAUCAUUAUAGACAAUACUGCCAAUCUCAAUAGUUAUUUGAUGCAAGAAGUGUGUCAACAGUUUAAGAUUGCAUUGCUAGGUUAUCACACUACUGUUCGUACUUCAACAGGGGAAACUCCAUAUUUAUUGGUGUUUGGAACAGAAGCAAUCAUCCCUGCAGAAGUUGAAAUUCCCUCUCUUUGAGUCAUUGUGGAAGCAGAGAUUGAUGAUGACGAGUGGGUCAAAACCCGACUGGAACAAUUGAGUUUGAUUGAGGAAAAAAGGCUAAUGUUGGUAUGUCAUGUCCAAUUAUAUCAGAAGAGAAUGCCUCUAGCGUAUAACAAAAAGGUAUAACCCAGGAAUUUUGAAGUUGGUCAGUUGGUAUUGAAGUAUAUCUUUCCUCACCAGGUUGAAGCGAAAGACAAGUUCUCCCUAAACUGGCAAGGUCCCUUCAUUGUGAAGAAAGUGUUGCCCAAUGGAGCCUUAUAUUUGACAGAUAUUGAAGGCAAAAUGGCAGAAAUGGCUAUCAAUGCUGAUGCCAUCAAAAGAUAUUAUGUAUGAUAUUUUAUCCGUUGUUGAUUUUAUUGCAUGUUUAGUACUUGCAUUUUUGAAGAUUGAUAUGAUGAAGGAAUUUUAUUCUUCUAUCCAAACAUUGUGUCAUCCUUUGUUUACCCAUUUGAGAUUAGUUUUAUUUUUCUUUCAUAACUCUUUUUCGGAAUCAAAAUAGAGUCAAAGAUAAAUGUCAGGAAAAUAAGAAUAAAAGAAAGAGUUCAAAAAUAAAAGAAAAAAAAGAAGAAAAAAAUCAAAUCAAAACAAAGAACAAGAUGAUGGAACUACGUGCGACCUGAUUUUUCUCUCUUGGGAGUGAGAUACGUAGGCUGACCUAUUCGGGGCUCGUCCAACCAAAUAAAGAUUUUAGAGUCACCAAUCAACAAAAACUGGGGCAUAGUUAAUGUGUUGUUUGAGUCGAUUCCAAAAGUUGUAAGUCCCACCCCCACUUCAAGUAUUGUUUGAGCCUCUUUCCAUCCUUUCCUAACCUUAUCCAAAAGCCAAGCUACAACCAAAGAAAGUCCUUCAGAUCAAUCUUUGAUAAUGUUAAGGCUAAGCAUGCAAUGGAUAUGAUGAUACAUUGUAGGGUACUACUUGUCUUCCCCAGCAUAAGAAAUUAGGAAAGAAAUAAAAAUACUAGUCUUACUGGUGAAAACCCUCACGGGCACCAUAAGGCGAUGGGAAGUUGAGAGAAAUAAAAAUAAGAGAGUCUUAUUGGUGAAAACCCUUAUGGGCACCAUAAGGCGAUGGUGAGUCGAGAGAAAUAAAAAUGAGAGAGUCUUUUUGGUGAAAACCCUUAUGGGGACCGUAAGGUGAUGGCGAGUUUGAGAGAAAAGUGAAAAGGAAAGAGAUUUGUUGGUGAAAAUUUUUUAAGUUGUCUUCAAUUGAAUGAGAUAUAUGAGUCCAAUGGAUUUGAAGAAGCGGCUCAACGACAAAGGCAUGAACUCAACAACAAAUGGGAAGUUUGGAUAGAAAGAUCAGACAACUUAAUCCAAAAUGCAUGUCGUACUCAUUGGAGUUGGAAGCCGUAUUCAAAUAAGUCUUCUUUUUGAAUAAGGGAUAGCGCCCUUUUUUUUCAUUUAAAUAUUCAUAUUUUGCCUUUUUAUGUCAUUUAUCAAAAUAAAAGUCACCAUCUUUUCUUUACAUUUUAAGUCAAGUCUGUGUUAAAACAAGCGAGAAAGACUUUCAAAACUUGCUACAAGUCUUUCCAAUUGUAUGAGGAAAAUCCAAGGACCAACACAUGAAAGAAAUAUGAUCGUAAAUCAACACAAAGAAAAGGAAUUGUAUCAACUGACAGGCUGCUGGGUUCGUGGGAGUAUUCAGAUUUGGAAAAGGGUACAUCUCAGAGGCCUGGUAAGAUGGAAACUCAUUGUUUAAGUCAGAACUCAUUUCCCUCAAUCUGGAUCCAGGUCAAUGAUGCGGCAAGAUAGGGGAAAGUUUAAGUGAUCUGAAACAAAGGUGAAAGGAACAACGAUUGGAGCAGAUGUUUGGGAAGCCAAGUGCUGCAAACCACCAUUAAGUUUUUAACUGACAAAUUUUCUUUGUUGAAACAGGGGUAAAUUCACUUCACUUAAUUCAGUUACCAUUGGAAAAACAUAUCCAUGAGGAUUUUACUUUCUAGUCAGGACCCUCCUAAAAAAUGGGAUUUUACUUUAUGUUUAGGAACCACCUGAAAAAUGGGAUUUUAGUUUAUGUUUAGGACCCUCCUGAAAAAUGGGAUUUUACUUAUGUUCAGGACCCUUCUGAAAAAUGGGACUUUACGUUCAGGACCCUACUGCAAAAUGGAAUUUUACUUUCGUUCAGGACCCUCCUAAAAAAUGGGAUUUUACUUUAUGUUCAGGACCCUCCUGAAAAAUGGGACUUUACUUUACGUUCAGAACCCUCUUGAUAAAUGGAAUUUUACUUUAUGUUCAAGACCCUCAGGAACAAUGAGAUUUUCUUUACGUUCAGGACCCUCCUGAAAAAUAGAAUUUUACUUUCGUUCAAGACCCUCUUAAAAAAUGGUAUUUUACUUUACGUUCAGAACCCUCCUAAAAAAUGGGACUUUAAUUUACGUUCAGGACCCUCCUGAAAAUGGAAUUUUACUUUAUAUUCAGGACUGUCCUGAAAAAUAGGAUUUUACUUUAUGUUCAAGACCCUCUUGAAAAAUGAGAUUUUACUUAUGUUCAGGACCCUCCUGAAAAAUGGGAUUUUACUUUAUGUUCAGGACCAUCUUGAAAAAUGGGACUUUACUUUACGUUUAGGACCCUUCUAAAAAAUGAGAUUUUACUUUAUGUUCAGGAUCCUCCUGAAGAAUGGGAUUUUACUUUACGUUCAGGACCCUCCUGAAGAAUGGGAUUUUACUUUGCGUUCAGGACCCUCCUGAAAAAUGGGAUUUUACUUUACGUUCAGGACCCUCCUGAAAAAUGGGAUUUUACUUCUGUUCAGCACCCUUCUGAAAAAUAGGAUUUUACUUUAUGUUCAGGACCCUCCUGAAAAAUGGGAUUUUACUUUAUGUUCAGGACCCUUCUGAAAAAUAAGAUUUUACUUUAUGUUCAAGACCCUCCUGAAAAAUGGAAUUUUACUUAUGUUCAGGACCCUCCUAAAAAAUAGAAUUUUACUUUAUGUUCAGGACUCUCUUGAAUAAUGGGAUUUUACUUUAUGUUCAGGACCCUACUGAAAAAUGAGAUUUUACUUUUGUUCAGGACCCUCCUGAAAAAUGAGAUUUCACUUAUGUCCAGGACCCUCCUGAAGAAUGGGAUUUUACUUUAUGUUCAAGACCCUCCCGAAAAAUAGGAUUUUACUUUAUGUUCAGAACCUUCCCGAAAAAUGGAAAUUUAGUUUCUGUUCAGGACCCUCCUGAAAAAUGGGAAUUUACUUUCUGUUCAGGACCCUCUUGUAAAAUGGGAUAUUACUUUAAAAAAAUGAUGAAAUACUUUUUAUUAUAAUCUUUGUUUGGGUUAAUUUUGGCUCUAGUUUUGAUUCUGGUUUCAGGGGCCCACCUGAAGAAUAGGGUGAUGAAAUGGGAAAUUGAAGAUAUUAUAAGUUAGGAACCCACCUGAAGAACAGAGUAAUGAAAUUGAAAGACAAAAAUGGCAAGGCAGAAGCCCGCCUGAAAAGUAGGGAGAAUAAAUGAAAGUCGAGUAAUGAAGUGAAGCAAUGGAAAACCAAGCAAUAAGUUGAAAGAAAUUGCAAGUUAAGAGCCCACCUGAAGAAUAGGGUGAUAAAACUCAAGUCAAGAUUCAAGGAAAGCUGCAUAGAUAGGAUUUUGUAAUUUCAUCUAUGUUUUAACUUGUAAUUUUCAUUUUUUGAUGUAACGACAUAGCCGCUGACCGGAACCUCGAUGGAACCUCACUCGACUCUCAAACUCGAUACAUUCCAUAUCCUUUUAAUCCUGUGAGAUACCUGUCACUUGAGUCCUUCAUAACUUGGGUAGGUAGGAUGUCCUAAGUCAAGACCCGGUUGCUUUUCUUUCCUCUGUUUCUUUCUUCGAAUAAUGAUCCGGACAAAAUUCUGUCUCGUUUUCAUCUUUGUAUGAAAACACUAGGUGUUUACAUUCAAAGGGGACAUGAUGUAGACACGUAAUUUUAUCCCGUCAAAAUAUUUCUUAUUCCGUUAUCCCACAAUUUAACCCCCAUUUUUAUAAUUUUCUACAAGAAAAAACAAAUAAAAUAACCACUUCAUUUUAUUUAUUUAUUUAUUUAUCUUUGUUUUUAUCCAAAUAACAAAUCCUAAAAAAUUUUGUCUUCUUUUAAAACCUCCCAACACCCCCUCCAAUUAAAAGACAGCAUCUCACAUCACACCCAGCCAAUACCCUUAUACCCGUACCUAUCCCAGUGAAACCAUUUUUUUAUUUUCUUUCUUCUUUUCUUUAUUAUUUUUCUUGCUCCCAAAGAUAGGAAACUUCCAAGAAUUGUCCAUAUAGACACCUCAUUGUAUAUAGAUAGAGAUAAGGACAACAACGAAAAAAAUCAUAUAUAUACAUACACCAUCAAACCAAAGGGGGACGGAUUUUUUUUUUUUCAAAAGAGAAAACACGUAGAAGAGAUUAUGGCCCCUAUUUUUCCUUUCUUCUUUCAUUACACUUCACAUUCACUCACCUUUUAGAGAAUAUAGGGCAUAUACUAUACCAGAGAGUUUAUUCCAAAAGGGGAAAGAAACCAGUAAACCAGAGAAGACACUAAAAAAAUAAGAUAACCCUCGAUCUCGUCCAUUCUUCACGAUCUCAGAGAAAAAGAGCAAAUCAUGGACUGAAAUCAGCUGGGAGUUUCUCGGAACAGUGAAUCCGGACUACUCACCAUUGAGAUCCGACCCGUGUUCUUCAUUUUCUGGAUGCCAUUUGAGCUCAUCGAGCUCCGGCGUCUCAGUUUUUUUUGGAAUUCGUCGUUCGUCCGUUCUUGGACUGAUUUCAUCGGUGUCACAUCUGAAUCAUAUGGAUUCUGUUUUCAUUUUUCUAGAGUUCAAUCUCUGUUUUGGUUGUUUAUGGGUACUUUAGGCUUCGACUCAACUCAGUAUUUGUGGGUUUUGAGUUCUGGUAAUUUCAAUCAGUCCAUCUCUGUCAAGUUCAAGUGUUAAAUUUAUUGGUAUCAAGUGGGGAUUUAGUCCCUGUUAAGGUUUCUUAUUUGGGCUUUUGGAUUUGAGCCUUCUUUAACACGUUAUUUUCAACUAAAGUCGACUUCAGAAGGUUCAUCUCUUUAACCUGGUUAUCUUUUUUUUAAUUUUAAUUUGUUGAUUUUGUUGUGAUUAUGUGUGAUGUGAUUAUACUUUGUUUCCUUUUGUUGAUGUUAUGGUCAUGAUGUUUGGUGAUUCGGCUUUAGAGGUUCGAGGAAAGAACUUGAUCAUGUUUUAAUGGAUUGAUAAAAAGGAAGUUGGGGAUUGGAAUUGAAAAAAUUGACGAAAAUAAAUUUUGAUUUAUUGUGAUGUUGAACGUAAAUGUCAUUGAACUGGAUAGGCAAAUAUAGGUUAGGGUAGGCAAAAUUUAGGAAUAAGUGUUUUGUGGUAUGUUUGAAUGUUAAAAAUGGGUGUUGAAUGGUUUGGUUUUAUGGUUUUGGAUCAAAAUGUAUCAUUUGGCCAGGAAAUGCCCUAAGGUAUUUGUAUUUGUUCACCAGGGAAUGCCCCGACGUACUAUGUUGGUGGAAAGACGUCCGUGAGGAAGUCCCGAGGCAUUGGUAAAGCAAGGGAGCAUAGUUAGGAUUAGUAUAGGUUAGAUAGGAUUUAUUUUUGCAUUUUAUUUUAUAUAUUUUUGGACUGUAUAAAUUAGAUUGGACACUAUAUUUUUGAUUCGCUUUUGUUUGUUUGUUUGUUUGAUUGUUUUAUGUGUUUUGUGUGGUUUAUACUUCCUUAUUGUCAAAAAUUAGCCGAAAUUACUUCGUCAAACGACCAUGGUCAAACCACGGAAUCGAGGAGUGCCUAACACUUUCGCCUCGAUCAACAAAAUUCUUUAGCCGGAAUCUCUAUUCACAAACCAGUUUAAAAGAGUCAAACACAGUUUUGAAAAAGGAUUUCCAAAGGUGACUUGGCACACCCGAUUAUGCCAAGUGGCGACUCUAAAUCAAAAAAUGUAAAUAAUUCUUUUUUGAAACAAAUUUUCUUCAUUUCGUCACUUUAAUAAUUAGAACCCUUUCAAAUCUUAAAAUCUAAUUCUUUUUGGAGUACAAAAAGGGGUGUGACACACAAAAAAGUAUUUUAUUUUGUUCCUGUCAUCACAAAAGUUACUAUGACUGAAUUUUACAAUAAUCCCUCCCACCAGAAAAAUGAUGUGUAACCUUAAUUAGUUCUUACUUUUAAUUUAAGAGAAUAUAAUGUAUUACUCAUAUCUUGACCCUUUUUAUGUGUGCCUAACUCAAUUUUCCUUAUGAAUUAUAUAACGAAAGAAUACCAAAUUCUUAAUAGAUUAGGCUACCUAAGGAAAAAUAUUGCAUCCAUCUGUCAAAUGGUGCAUUAAAAAAGAGUAGUAAACAAGAUAAAUUCUUCAAAACUCAUUAAAUAGAAAUACGUGUAUAACUAUUCAUUUCAUUUUAUGUGGCAUGCUUUGACUAGGCAUAGAGUUUAAGAAAUAAGAAAAAAAUUGAUGAUGUCUACCAAAUGAAAAAAAUUGAUGAUGUCUACCAAAUGACCCUUUAUUAAAAAAUGCACAAUUACUAUCUUUAUUUAAGAGACUUUAUAAGUGGGAUCAAUAAGGAUAAAAGUGGAUUGUAUCUUUAAAUAGUUACCAAAUAAGAAAAUGUGACAUUCUUUUUGAGACGGACCAAAAAUAAAAUGAUGACACAUAAAAUGGGACAAAAGAAUUAUUAUCUUUUUAAAGAUUAUUUUAAUUCUUUGAAGAUAAAUCAAUAUGCCAAAGAUAAUUUUAAAAUAAAAUCUUUUUAAUUUUGUCAUCGAAUAAGUAUUGUCAAAAUUUGUACAAAUAAUAUUAUUGACAGUUGUGUUAAUAAAAAUAUAAGUAAUUUAAUAGAUAAAAUAAAUUAUUGAAUAUUUAAUUUUUAUAUUUAUCAAUUGAAUUAAUUAAACAAUAUGUAAUUUAUUAGAAACAGAAUAUUAUAAUGAAAACUUCUAAGAGAAUUAACCGAUUAGCCAAACAAUUAAAAGCACAAAGACAAACUCAAUACAUAUAGUAGUUUGUCAUAGUAUUAUGAUAUACUGAAUGCAAAGGGUCAAGUGUCAAGAAAAAAAAUUUAUAAAAAAAUAAUUUUAUCAACUACAUGUCACAAUUUGAAAAUGGAGAAAAGUAAUUUUAUCAACAUCACAAUUUUAAAGGGAGAAAAGUUAUUUUAUCAACUUCUUGUCACAAUUUUAGAUGAGAAAAGUAAUAACCAACCGCAUAGCACAAUUUUAAAGGAUUUUUAAAAUUUAAAAUUGCCACAAUCUUAUCAAUUAAAUGUCAUAAUUUUAGAGGAAAAAAAUAAUUUACCAACACAUGCCUCAAUUUUAGAAGAUUUUAAGAAAAUAAAAACUACAAUAGUGCCAUUGUGAAGACUACCAAAUUUUAGUAUCCUCACUUAUAUAUAAGUACUAGUUUCACGAGGCCCGUGCUAAGCCCGAACCCAAGUUAUAGAUAUAUAAUUAGAAAUUUCAUAUAAUUAUAAUAUUUUAAUUUAAAGAGAAAAAUAUUAUAUCGUAUUUUCUUACUGCAUAAUUAAUAUGUAUCUCCUUAAAUUAAUCCCUAAAAAGUACAAAGUAUUUGUACUAAAUUACUCGAUAAAUAAUGUAAGGAGUAAUUUAAUAUUUCCUCUGAUUCAUAUUUUAUGAAUUUAUUUUUGCUUGGGCACACUUUUAUAAUUAAGUUUCUCCAAGAAAGUAAUUUUUUUUACUAUAUUAUCCUUGAAUAAUUAAUUUCAAUUUAAUAUAAUUUCUGAAUUAUGCAAAAAUUAACUUAUCUAAAUUUAAAGAAAUUAUUAAUAUGGUUUUGACCAUGUAUAAGAUCAUUUAUUACCCCCUCGUAAAAAUUAGGGAUAGGAGAAGGGGAAAUGGAAGAGGUGGAUUAAAUUGUGGGAAUUGAAUCUUCAUCAACAAAGUGAGAGUUCAUGUAGUCAACCAAGCUACUAAGACUCCCUACUCCCUCGUUUCAACUUGUUUAAUAUAUUUUUCUCUUUAGUUUUGUUUAAAAAGAAUGAUCGCUUUUCUUUUUAUCAAUUCUAUAAUUUUAACUAUGCACUUAACAUAUUUAAUACACAAUAUUAAAAAAUAUUUUAGUACGUUCGACAUAUCCUUAAUUUACAAACAUAAAAUUUAAAAAUUUAGUUGAUUUUUUAAAAUUUUGUUUUAGUCUAAAAUAUGUCAAAUAAAUUAAAAUGGAGGAAGAAUAUGAACAAAGGAAUAAGCAAAGAUUAAGGAAAAAGAAAGCAACCAAAAGAAGUAAGAAUAAUCAAAGAUUGAAAAAAAAAAAGGAAUCAAAAGAAAUAAGGAGAAGACCGAUUAACGACAUCAAUAUACAACCAACCGUAGAGUUCCAUGUUAUAGUGGACAAAGAAAAUAGAAAAAACUCAAAUAUGUCAUCGAGUUAUAGAAAAUGGUUCAUUUUUGUCAUUCAUUAUAAGUUGGGAAAAGGCUCAAAUAUGUCAUCGAUCUUUGAGAAAAGGCUCAUCUAUGUCAUUCAUUUAAAGUUUGGCUCAUUCAUGUCAUUGUCAUUACAAAAAAGGCUCAUUCAUGCCAUUUUUUAGCAAUCUAGUUUGGUAAUUUUUGACAAAACCAUUUUGUACACGUGGUCAACAAUGAUUCGUCCACAUCAUUAAUUAAAUAAGCCAAAAAAUUAAGAAAAAAGACUCAAAUAUAUCAUUGAACUAUUAGAAAUGACUCAUUUAUGCCUUUAGUUAAAAGUUCAGCUCAUUCGUGUCAUCGCCGUUAUAAAACCAACUCAUCCAUACGAUUACUUUUUAAUGGUGAAUUUUCAAAAAUAGCUUUACCACGUGACAUUUUAUUAGAGGUAUGCAUCAUUAAUUAAAAUAAAUCAAUAUUAAUUUUAAAAUAUCUUAGACCCAUUAAAAAGAACCGAUCUAUUUAAGAUAACCCGACUCACAUCCAUUAAAGUAUUUUUCUACAAUAACAACUAUAUUUCUUGUUGAUUCUAAAUCAUUAUAAAUAUUAUGCUUAUAGAAGCCUCAAAAGUUCUAUCCUACAGUAACUUUUUUUUAUCCUACAGUAACUGAUUAGUUGUAAUUCCACCGACUCCAAUAUGUACUCCAAAGUUGUAAGAAAGAGAAGCCAAUGAACGAUUAGGGAAGCAAGAAAAAGGAGGCGAACCAAUAGAAAUUCUCCAUUUUCCCAUCAUACUAACUAAUUUCAGAUAUUUUGAAAUUAAUAUAGAUUUAUUUUAAUUAAUGACGUGGACCUCUAAUAAACGGCCACGUGACAGAACUAUUUUUGAAAAUUCACUGCAAAAAAGUAAUCGCAUGAAUGAACUGAUUUUAUAACGGCAAUGACACGAAUGAACUAAACUUUUAACCGAUGGCAUAAAUGAUUCAUUUAUGAUGAUUCAAUAACAUAUUUGAGCCUUUUCUCUUAUUUUAAUUAAUGAUGUGGACCUCAAUUAAAAGGUCACAUGACAAAGAUAUUUUUGAAAAUCCAACUUAAAAAUAAUGACAUGGAUGAGCUGAUUUUGUUAUAGCGAUGGCAUGAAUGAGCAAACUUUUAACUAAUGGAAUUAAUGAGCCAUUUCUGAUAGUUCAAUGACAUAUUUGAAUCUUUUCUAUAAGUUUGGCUAAUCUAUGUCAUCAGUUUUAAAAGUUGGACCAUCUAUGCCACUGUCGUUACAGAAAAAUUCACUUGUUCCAUUACUUUGCAAUGGUGAUUUUGCAAAACUACUUUGCCACAUGACUUCUUAUUAGAAGUCCACGUCACCAAAUCUAAAUCAACCAAUAUUACGUAAAUCAAAAUAAAAAAUCAUACCCAUUAAAAUAAAACCUGACACGACUAAUGACUUUGAUUUUUUUUUUAAUUAUUUUAAAUUUUAUUUUUAAAAAAGUUCAAUUUUUAUUUUAACUAUGUGAAAUAUAUUUUAUUUUAAUGAAUUUUAUUUUUAAAUUUUUAAUUUUAAGUAAUAUUAAGUAAUUUAAAUUUAUAAUAUGGACCUUUAAUAAGAGGCCAUGUGGCAAAAAUAAUUUUAGAAACCACAGUUAAAAAAUAAUGGCUUGGAUGAACCGGUUUAACGACGAUGGCAUGAAUGAGCCAAACUUUUAACAAAUAACAUCAAUGAGUCAUUUCUGAUAGUUCAGUGGCGUGUUUGAGCUUUUUCCCAACUUUUCCAAGAAAAUAAAAUAAGUGAACAAAUUAUAGCAAAACAAUGAAUUGGCCACAUGUAGCUUGACUAUUGCUGUCAUAAAAGCAUAUUCCUCUUUUCCUUUUGUGAGGACGACGAAUCUGAAGAUUGUCGUUUAUAUAUAGUGUAACUAGUGUCAGUUGGCUCGUGCUAAGCCCAAGCCCAAACUACAUAAAUAUUUAUACUUAUAAUUUUUUCUGUUUUUUGCUACUCUUGUUUUUUAUUUGUUUUUGUAAUAUUAUAGUAUUGGUUGAAAGUAGUUCUAUCACGACCCAAAAAUAAAGGUCAUGAUGACACUUGUCAUGGCGUACCUUGACAAGUAAGUCUAUCACCAAACUGAUACAAAAAGAAGAAAAGACAUAAAUAUCCACGGUAAGGUUUCUAGAACCAAGCCAAACCAUAUAAGUAAUCAUAACAAUGCGGAAAGAACUUAUUCAAAAUACCAAUCAUACCCAAAACCAGGUGUCAAUAGUGUAAGAACUACUAAUACAAUCCAAGAGUUAAAUGCAUCAGAAAAAUAACCACAAAGGAAUAAUAAUUGUCUCCGAAUACUAAUAAAGACAUAACAACUGUAGAAAGAUAGAGGUGAACUUCGGACGCAUGAAUUUCCAAACACUACCUUGAAAGCUCCAACAAUCGCCCGAGUCAAUCAAGUUGAGGAGCACUUGAGCUAAGACCUGCACCGAAAGGGCGCAGUAGGCAUGAGUACAGUCCACUUGUACUCAAUAGGUAUCAUAGGCCGACCAAGUAAAGUAGUAAAUAAAACACACAAAAUAUACACUAAGGGAACGUCACCUGCAAUCAAAAAAUGUCCCACAACGGUAGCCCCCACCGCUUUCACUAAUAGUUCUAAUAUAUCUCACAUAUAUUACAACAACACACCACGGUAUACAACACAAGUAUACAUUAUAUCACAUAUAAAUAGAACGAGAGAACAUGUAGAUACAAGAUCAUCAAAUACAAGUAAAGGAAGGUAAGACAAAUACAUAGAUGACAAGUCAAUAAGACAAUACUACACAACAUAAACACAAUAAAGUAAGUGCAAUGUAUAUGAUGAUGAUGAUGCACGAGGUCAUCGUACAAUCCCUGUAUACACCUACGGAGCUAAAGAUUCCCUGCGUAGGACCCAUGGGGGGUUCGUCAAUCCAUAUACAAUCCACAUCUCAUAUAUCCUUUUCGAAAUAUCCCUUGAAAAAGGUUUUAUAAAGUAUUACAAUAUCUUUUAAGAAGGCGUUGCCAGUGUUUCUCAGAUGUUGCCAUGGUGGUACCAAGAUUUCAUGAAUGAGUAUGAUAUGAAGAUGUGAUGCACACAACCAAUCAUAUCUGCGUCGAUAUUCGCUCAUUAUUUUUGUAUCACCAUGAAUUUUCACAUGUUUCAUUUGCCAAUAAAGUAUGAAUAUAAUUACAAUACACCAAUGGUGCCAUAUUAGCAUUUUUAACAACAUAAUACAAUUAUUCAUAUGUAUUCAAGGCUAUCAAUAUCACAUAGGACCCCACACGGUCACUCAUAUCAUAUAAUAACUCAAUUUCGAUAAUUAUAUCACAUAUAUGCCCCCACAUGGGCACAACACAUAAUAGCCAUUUUUCAUGAUUAGUUUCCACCCUUAACAUGCAUUUUGUAUCAUCAUUUACUACCCAGCCCAGUCUGAAAGAGUUCAACCAUAACCUACCUCGAAAGCCGAAACCGAUCCACUACACUAGAACCCGCGAUCUUACUUUUCACGAAAAAUCCCAAACUCUACUACAAACAUCAAAUAUGAAAUCUACACAUCAAAACAAAACCAAUGACACCCAUAUUGACUACUUUUGGUUCGAAAUCAAAACGGACCCCCAAAAUGAGUUUUUGAAAAAGAAGAGCAAAAUCAAAAAUUUACUUCAAAAACAUGUUCCCCAUAUUUUUAGGAACCUACAUCUAAAAAUUCAAGUUAAAUCGAGUAAAAAAUGGGGUUCAAAUCGAAGAAAAACCAUUUUUGAGCUUUACCGGGUAAAAUCUUUGAAAUUCGGGUUAAAAUCAAGAAUCAGAGUUGUUUUGAAGGAUAAAUUGAUGAAAAACUAGUAAUUAUAAGAUAAAAACAUUAUUCAAGUGAAAAGAAAUAAAAUUUGAGUUGAAAAUCAUGCCCUAAGAUUUUUGGGGUUUUGAGAAAUUAAUCAAGAAAUUACUAAGAAAAAGGUGAAUUCUUACUUUUAAUCCGUAAUAAAACCAAGAAAAAGGUGUUAAUCUAUCUUCCCAAGCUCCCACAAACUUUACUUUUAAGCUCCCAAACUAUUUAAGGUUUAUCUCUCUAUAGGCAAGAUGAAAAAUGAGCAGAAUAGGUAAAAAAAAAAAAGAACUAUUUAUCAGUGCAGAUUUUUUCUACACAACUGUUUUUUUUUAAACUCAAUUCGGACUUCAACGGGGUGUCCAGAAUUCGUUCGGAGUACGAUACACGCAAACGAACUAUGCAACCAUACUUAAUUCGACGUUCAGGACGCUUUGCCGAUAUCAGAUUUUCAAAAAAAAUGUUGUUUUCACAAAAUUGACCCCCCAAACUCGAAAUUAUAAUUUUUAAAAUCAAGGGUCGAAAUGAGAUUUAAAAGCCGUAAAAUCAUACUAAACAUGCUAACUCCCUAAAAUUGAUAUUUUAAAUCUGCUGGCAAAGUCGUAUUUUCCAUCCGAGGUCGUUUCGAUCAAAUGUGGGUCCCACAUCCAUAUUUUUAAUUUUUUAACUUUUCAAUCAAUAGGUCGAAAUGAGCUCGGGUGCACCGGGACCCUAACCAAAGGUCUAGCCUAAAAUUGAUAUUCUGGAGCUGCUGGCAUAGUCCGUUCGAUCAUCUGUCGUACAGAUCAAAAUAUAUCCACAUUAGUCCAAAAUAAGGCACUCGAAGCCAUCAAAAACCACAAUAUUGCAUAAAUGAUACCAAAAUGCAUCGAAAAUAAUGCCAAACACUCCAAUACCUCAGAAAUAUCAUAAUGCAACUACGGGAAGGGGUAAAAUAGUCAAAUCACAUAAAAUCAUAAAUUUCACAUAUUUCAUCAAAUUUUUAGGUCAUUACAUGUUCGAUAACCUCUCAAUACUUUUAAAAACAAAAAAAUCAUAUAUACAUUCAAUUUCUUAUCUCCUAUUUCUUUUUUAGUUCGUUUACAAAAGAAUAUCUCUCUCCUUUUCUUAGACUCUUUAAUUUAUCCUUUUUCAUAUGACAUGUUUAAUACCACAAGAUUAAAUUUUUUUUUUUUACUCUUUCCGCAUAUAUUUUCAGUUUAAGAUCACAAAAUUCAAAAGUCUCCAUCACGCGUUUAAACUUCGGGCGAAGUUAAAAGCAGACAAAUAAAUUAAAAUGAAGGAAGUGAAAGUUUUUGAAAGCUAAAAACAACAAUUUUCACAGUAUGUUUUUGAUUUUCUUUUAAUUUUUAAACAAACGCACACACUAAAAUUGUUCUCCUUUUUAUUUACUGAAUUUUUUUAAAUGAAAGUUUUAUCAAUCUAAAAUGAUUGUUAUUUUAUGUUGAAUUACCUUCUUUAUCUUUUUCUCAAUUAAACUUAUUGACUAAUUCAUUUUAUUUUUAAGAAAUACAAUAUUUAGGUAAUAUAAAAAAUAUUUGAUGCUACAAAUUAUUGUAUGAUUACGUCAAUAAAGUUAAUUUAUAAAUAAAGAUAACAUUUAACUUAAAUUGUUGAAAGUCUGAUUUAGCAAAAUACUUUUGUAAAUGUUUUUCAAUGGGUCAAAUCUUACAAGAUCAUUAAAACUUCAAUGAGGGAUAAAAUAGAUUUUUAAAAGUUGGGUGUUAUCUCUUAUUAUUUUUUCAUAUUAAAGAAAUCGUCAAUUUUUUAAUUAAUUUUUAAUUUAAUUGGAUAAUAGAUCUUUUGUGGUGUUACUAUCACUUUUUCUAUGGCUUAUUACUUAUUUUUUAUAGCAUUUUAAAUGUCAAUAUAAUUAUUUAAAUUUACAGCAACAACAAACCCAAUAUAUUCCCACAUAGUGGGGUCUGGGGAGAGUAGAAUGUACGCAGUCCGUACCACUACUACCGAAGAAGUAGAGAGGUUGUUUUUGAUAGACCCCCGGCUAAAGAAAAAAGACCAAGACCUUAGUCAAACAUCGCAAGCAUACAACAUGAUAAAAUAACAACGGUACCACAACCACAAAAAGUACAUUAACCAACAAAAGGCACCACCCUCCCCCAGCCCUAGCACUACCAACCAAGCGACACGAGACUCACCUAACUCCCGCCUAUGACUUGACCACACCCCUUAGUCCUCUACCCUAAUACUCCUCCUCCAAAACUUCCUAUCGAGGGUCAUAUGCUCAGUGAGCCGUGAUUGCUCCAUGUAAUGUCUAAUCACUUCUCUCUAGUAUUUCUUUAGUCUACCCCUACCCCGCUUGAAACCAUCCAAGGCCAACCUCUCAUACCUACUAACUGGAGCAUCUGUGCCCUUUCUCAUCACAUACCCAAACCAUCUCAGCCUCCCUUCCUGAAUCUUAUCCUCCAUAUAUGCCACUCCCACCUUAUCCCGAAUCGUCUUAUUCCUAACCUUGUCAGCCCUCGUGAUACCACCUAUACAUUACAAUAUCAUCAUUUCUACCACCUUUAACUUUUGGACGUGAGACUUCUUAACAGGCCAACACUCUGCGCCAUACAACAUAGCCGGCUGGACUACAACUCUGUAGAAUUUGCCUUUAAUCUUGGGAGGCACCUUCUUAUCGCAAAGAAUUCCCGAGGUGAGCUGCCAUUUCAACCAACUCUCCCCUAUACGGUGAGAGACAUCCUCAUCAUUCUCUCCAUUCCCCUUAAUUGCAAACCCAAGGUACCUAAAACUAUCCCUCUUACAAACUACCUGAGACUUCAACUUCACUACUACCUUGUCCUCUUUCCUCGUGUCACUAAACUUACACUCCAAGUACUCCAUCUUUGUCCUACUCAACUUGAAACCUUUAGUUUCCAGGUUUUGUCUCCAAACCUCCAACUUAUCGUUAACACCUUGAUGAGACUCAUCAAUCAAGACUACAUCAUCCGUAAAAUGCAUACACCAUGGCACCUCACCUUAAAUACUCUGUGUCAACACAUCCAUUACCACAACAAAUAAAAACAGACUCAUAGUCAAACCCUGGUGCAACCCAGUAAGUACCAAAUACUGCUUGAAACCCCCUCCUACAGUCCUUACCCGGGUCUUUGCCCCCUCAUACAUGUCCCUAAUCGAACGAAUGUACACCAUAGGGACCCCCUCACCUCCAAGAAUCUCCAAAUAACCUUCCUAGGGACUUUGUAAUACGCCUUUUCCAAGUCAAUAAACACCAUGUGCAGGUCCCUCUUCCUUUCUCUAUACUGCUCCACUAGUCUCCGCACUAGGUGAAUUACCUCAGUCGUCAAGCGACCAGGCAUAAAACAAAACUGAUUCUCUGAAAUCGACACUAUCUUCCUCAACCUCCGCUCCUCCACCCUCUCCCAAAUCAUUAUACUGUGACUCAACAACUUAAUACCUCAGUAGUUGUUGCAACUCUAAAUAUCACCCUUGUUCUUAUAAAAAGGAAUAAUCGUGCUCCAUCUCCAUGCCUUGGGCAUCUCAGUGGACUUAAAAAUAUUAUUGAAUAAUUUGGUCAACCACCUCAACCCCGUCCCACUUGCUAACUUCUAAAAAUUCACUGGAAUCUCAUCGGGCCUCGUUGCCCUACCUCUUUGCAUUUUGCGAAUAGCCUCACAAACCUCCUCCACCUUAAAACACCGAUAAUAGCCAAAAUCUCGACAUUCUUUAGUGUGCUCCAACUCCCCUAGUACAAUGCCUCUGUCCCCCUCAUCAUUCAAGAGCCUAUGAAAAUAUGACUGUCAUAUAUUCUUAAUAAGAAUAUCAUCUACCAAAACUUUACCAUCUUCUCCCUUAAUGCACUUAAUCUGGUCCAGAUCCCGACCCUUACGCUCCUUAGAUUUGGAAAGCCUAUACAUUCUCUUCUCCCCCUUUCUUCUUUAGUCCCUCAUAUAAUCUCUCAAACGUUGUUGUCUUAGCAGCAGUGACCGCUAACUUAUCCUUCUUCCUAGCUAACUUAUACUCCUCCCUGCUCACCCAUCUUUCCUCUUCAUCCUUACUCUGAACCAACUUUACGUAAGCCGUCUUCUUCAACUCCACCUUCUUCUUAACUUUUUCAUUCCACCACUAAUCCCCCGAUGCCAGCUAGACCAACCCCUCGAGGCACCCAAAACCUCUCUAGAUGUCUCCUUGAUGCAACUCGCAGCUGUAUCCCACAUACUAUCCAUGUCCACCCUAUAUUCCCAAGCCUUUAUUCCCUCUAAACUCGCCCUAUCUCUAAAGUAGUAGCCAAAGUCAGGUCACCCCACCUGACUCUAGGUCUACCCUCCUACCCCUUCUUUUUGUUUUCUCUUCUUAAUAUUUAAGUCCAUCACUAAAAGUCUAUGCUGGGUCGAAAGGUUCUCACUCGGAAGGGCCUUACAAUCCUUACACAAAUCUCUAUCCCCCUUCCUAAGUAAUAAAAAUUAAAUUUGAGUUUUGGCUAACCUACUACAGAAAGUAACUAGAUGCUCCUCCUCCUUUGAAAAAUAGGUGUUCACUACCACCAACUCAAAGGCCCUCGUAAAAUCCAAAAGAACGGCUCCUGCAUCAUUCCUGUCCCUAAAGCCAAAGCCUCCAUGCACCUCCCCAUAUCCUACCGGUAAAGCCCCAAUGUGCCCAUUGAAGUCCCCUCCUAUAAAAAUCUUCUCCGAGCUAGGCACGCUACUAAACACCUCGUCUAAAAUGUCCCAAAAUCUUCUCUUCUCCUCCUCGUCUAGGCCCACCUGUGGUGUAUAAGCAAUACAGAUGUUCACCAUAAACCCCCCAAUGACUAACUUAAUAGUUAUCCCCCCAUCGCUAACCCUAUUAAUCUCCACUACUUGCUCUCUAAGCUCUUCAUCCACUAAUAUACCUACGUCAUUCCUACGUCUCUCACUACCUGAAUACCACAACUUGUACUCAUCCAUAUCCCUAGACUUAGAGCCUACCCACUUAGUCUCGUGGACACAUGCAAUAUUGAUCUUUCUCUUACUAAGGAUAUUAACCAACUCUAUCGACUUACUCUGAAGGGUCCCUAUGUUCCACAACCCUACCCUCAACCUUUCAUCUCUCGAAACCCCUCCCCUAAUACCUCUACCUCUCAACCUGACCCCAACACUGGACCCCAACCCCACAGGACAUGACCCUAUUCCACCAUUUACCCCUAAAGCCACAACUCAAUACCAGACAACAAGAAAAUUAUUUAAAUUUACAAAAAUAAAAAUAUUGUUUUAGUUAUUGUCUAAUAGAAAGUGAAGUAAUAUUGAAAUUUAUCAAGGAUAGUAAAAAAAAGAGAUAAAACAAAUUAAUAUGAAAUAAUAAGUUAAAACAAAUUUCAAAGGUUAAAUUUAUAAAAAGAAACCUUUUAAAGUAAUUGACGAGCAUUAGUUGCAAUCUAACUAAAAAUGAUAAAAUAUUUGGAUAAGCAUUAGUUGAAAUCCAACUACUACCAAAUCUUUAGAUUCUUUUCAUAUAAAAGAAAUCAUCAAUUUAUUUAUUAAUUUUUAAUUUAAUUGGAUAAAUAGAUCUUUUAUGGUGUUACUUUCACUUUUUCUAUGACUCAUUAUUAUAAUUUAUAACUUAUUUUGGGGUAGAAAGUUUAAGAAUCAAGGGCUAAAGUGAUAGAGAAAUCUUUAAAUUCUUAUGAAAGGAGCGAGAAUAAUAGACAAUUGAAGUAACUUUUGUACUUUCGAGUUUGAGAUUAAGGUAAACCCUUUCCUACAUCUUUAUUUUGAUUUUUGGUAUGAAAUUUGAUGAAUUGGAAAAUACCAUGAAACUCUGAGGGAUGGGAAGUUUGAUUGUAUUAUGAUAGCCUAAAAUAAGGAUAUUAACUCAAGAAUGGAUAUGAUGUGAUUAUAGGUUUAAUCCAAGAAAGUGAUACAAAUCAUUCGGGGUGACAAAUUUGGUAUUUCGACAAGGGUACUGUGAGUAGUAAUCUUACCAUGAUUUGUGUUUGUUAACUUACAUAUUUUAUACUUGAUUUUGAUGAAAUAAUGAGUUACGAAAUGCUUUAAAAUUGCAUGAGGGGCAAAUCCUUUACUUGAUAUAAUAUUGAAAUUGUUAUUUGAGAUAUGAUAUUACUACUGUGAAUAUUCUUCACUUACAUGAGAAACAUGUAUUUUGACAUGUGUUUUUAUUAAAGUUUACAUGUAACAUGAUUUGAUAUGAACUUUAAAUGAUAUGUACUAUUCUGAAAAAUGCUUUCAUAUGAAUAUCCUAUUGUAUACAAAGAAUUUAUAAAUGGGAGUAGACCUUGAUUUGAAUCCCGUAGUGAUACAAGUACGACCAUGAGGAUGGACGAGAACGGGUGCGUAUUGAAUCCGUCCAAGGAAGUGCACAAGUGAAGUGUAAAAAGAGCAUAAAUGAACUAAAAAUAGCCCCUAAGUUACACUUUAUGGGUACUUUACCCUUGAGGGGUAUUGUGGUCAUUUUGUAUUCUAUUUUGUAAUAAACUAUAUAUAAAACCUCUUAGGAUUUUUAGUUUUAGUUUUGAUGAAUAUUGAAAGUUGUAGAAACUUAGAUAUUUCUCUCUUAUGAGAAAGGCCCCUAUGGCCAAACAUUGUAACUAGGGAUUUCAACUUGAGUGUGGAAUCACUCGUGUUGGAUUCAAGCUUGGAAAGGUUGGAUGCUUGGUAGAUCGAGGUCCCUCUUGUGCCACAUAAGAGAUAGGUGAAUUGUAUUGGCUUGUUAAGAUUAUGCCUUCAUGUAGUCUAUCUUUCUAUCCCUUUGUUUAGUGUAAUCUUUUGUUAUUGUUUCUUGUGUUGUUGAAACCAUUGGUUAUUUUUAUUGUAAUCCUCUUGUUCUUCACGCGUUGAUGUUGUUUUGGGUGUUAUAUAUAUCAUUGAAUCUUGUAUUCUUCUUGUUGGUAGCGAAUCCAAGAGUGGUCUCCAAAAAGGUCCUCGGAUCCUUAAGAUUAGUGACUAAUUUGGAGUGUGUUUCGUGUUCUCCUUGUUUGUAUUGUAUCAUUUGGUAUCAGAGCAUGUCUUGAUAUUGUUCCUACAAGAUCAAUCUUGGGCUUUCUUGUUAGAAAAUUAAAAAAAAAUUAUUAAAAAGCUGAAAAUUUCAGAAAAAAUUGCAAUCUGUCCAUUGUUGUUGUCUUGGCCGAAAUUGUGUUCUUGUGGUGUUCUUGGCCUAGAUUUGUUCUUGAGUCUAGGUAUAGGAGUAUUUUACUUGUCUUGUGUGUUUUUAGUCUUAGUUUUAUUCCUCACUAACACUUUGAGUCGAUCCAAACUUGAUCUUAAAUUGUUAAUAUUGUUGUUGUGAACAAAGUGUGGCCUAUUGGAUGUUGUUGUUGCUUUAGCCUUGACCGAGUUGAAGGCCUUGUGUUAUGGUGUUGUUUUAGAUCUUGAAAGAUUGUUGUUGUAUUCUUGAUGUUCAUCACAACCUUCACCUUUUGUAAAACCGAAAACACAAUACCAAAGUCCAGAUUAUGAAAUUAAAAUUUUUCAAGAACUGAACCACUAGUGUACUACCACGUGGACCGCCACAUCACCACAUUCACUGUUCACGCAACAAUUUUGGCUCAAAUUUUGAUAUUUAAGUGUCAUUGUAUUGUUCUAUUAGUUUCAUUUGUUGAUUCCAUUACUAACUUACAAGAUAGUACUAGAUUGUAAGUUAGUUUUGAAACCAUCCUUCGUUUAUACGUUCCUUCGUGUAUACAUUCCUUUGAAAUCGUAGUUUCCAUUUAUUGUUUCUUAGUUUCAAUUUUGUUGGUUCCAAUACUAAUUGGCAAACUAGUACUCAUCUACUAGAUUGUUAGUUAGUCUUUGUGUUCGUUCAUUCGUGUUAAACGUUUGUUGUGUGCUUUUCUCUUUUGUGAAUUCGUUGUAUCUUGUUGGUUUAAGUCCGUAAAAAAAUUUUCUUUGAGUCAACUCAAAUGAAAAUUCAUUCCAGACAAGAGUAGAAUCGACCCUCAAUCACUCACGAAGUACAAACCGGCUUUCAACACUUGUGAAAUCAAGUGUGAGGUAAAAUCAAGAGUGAGUGUGGUGAGGCAUUUUGAACUAACAAGUUUGUUUUGUUAUUUGUUGUUGUCCUUUGCUUUAGGUACCAUGGCUGCGACUAAUCUUGAUGCCAUGUUUGAUCGCACUAAUGGCGAUAUUGAAGAAAUAAAAUGGCACGUGGAAAGGCUACGCCAAUUGUUACCUAAACUUAUCCCACAAAAUCCAUCUUCCUUUGUCCAAAAACCUUGUGCGGAGAGCUUCCCGAAGGAAAAGGUGGGCUACCUCGACCCACACCAAGGUAAAGAGGAGAUUGAAACAUCUUUGGUACUUGAUAGUGAACUUAUAGAGAGUGAAGCACUUGCUAGUUCCAAAUUUGUCCGUGAAAUAGAUCAUGCUCUCUUUAGGUUUAAUGUUUUGUUUGAAGAUGAUAUAAACACUCCUAAUGGACCUAGUGGUGAAAAUAAUGGUAUAUCUUGCCUUGAAGGCUAUAGCCGAUAUUCUAACCCACUAUGGUGUGACAACAUUCCUCCUAAAGAUGGAAAUCUCUUCUUGGAAAAUGAGAGUACUCUUAUGGGCAAGGAAUGUGUAGUCUCAGAAAUGAGUACUCUUGGUAGUACUCUUGGUGUGCAUGAUGAUCAAUUUAUUCAUAAAUGUAGUUCACUACUUGAGCAUGUAAAUGGAGUACUUAAAAAUUCUCAAGUUAGUGAUGGUGUCUAUAGAAUUGUUCUUGAUAAUGCGCAUGACUCUUUGAACAUUUUGUGUGGUAAAAACAUUACAAUUAGUUUUGUUCAUAGAGAUCAUGUGUAUGAAAAUGUUUUUAUUCGUGAAUGUGGGAGUGACAUUCUAGGGGAAGGAAGGGCUAUCCUCGACUUAAUCACUUGGUUAAAUUUUCCAUUUGAUCCCGGUACCAUUUUAAGGUAGGAAAGGAUGACUCUCAGCCUAUUUUCCUUUUGUCUUGAUGCUUCUCCGAGCCACUUCCUUUGUAGCAAUUGUACUAAUCUUUUUAUAAUUAAAACAAAGGACUCGUGGCUAUACUUCAAAUUUUUCCCGCCUCAGCAUGGCAUAUUGAUGUGUUAUUUUUGCUAACCUAACCCCUCAUGUCAUGAGGAUGUGUACUUGUUUGUCUUCUCUUGAUCUGCAAGGUACGGAUUCGAGGUUGAAUCUUUUUCAAGAAGGGGAGAAUGAUACGAGUAUGACCACGAGGAUGGACGAGAAUGAGUGCGUAUUGAAUUCGUCCAAGGAAGUGAACAAGUGAAGUGUAAAAGAGGGCCUAAAUGCACUAAAAACAGCCCCUAAGUUACACUUUAUAGGCACUUCACCCUUGAGGGGUAUUUUGGUCAUUUUGUAUUUUAUGUUGUAAUACACUAUAUAUAGAACCUCUUAGGGUUUUUAGUUUUAGUUUUGAUGAAUAUUGAAAGUUGUAGACUCUUAGACAUUUCCCUCUUGUGAGAAAGGCCCCUAUGGCCAAACAUUGUAACUAGGGAUUUCAACUUGAGUGUGGAAUCACUCGUGUUGGAUUCAAGCUUGGAAACAUUGGAUGCUUGGGAGAUCGAGGUCCCUCUUGUUCCAUGUAAGAGAUAGGGGAAUUGUAAUGUGUAGUGUUAAGGGUCUAAGAGUGGAAUAUGCUCUUGGCUUCUUAAGAUUAUGUCUUCAUGUAGUCUAUCUUUCUAUCCCUUUGUUUAGUGUAAUCUUUUGUUGUUGUUUCUUGUGUUUUUGAAACCGUUGGUUAUUAUUAUUGUAAUCCUCUUGUUCUUCAUGUGUUGAUGUUGUUUUGGGUGUUAUAUAAAUCAUUGAAUCUUGUAUUCUUCUUGUUGGUAGCGAAUCCGAGAGUGGUCUCCAAAAAGGUCCUCGGAUCCUUAAGAUUAGUGGACUGAUUUGGAGUGUGUUUCGUGUUCUAGUUGUUUGUAUUGUAUCACGUAGCUAACGGCGAGAUCGUUAGACCUGUUGUACCUUGUAUUUACUGAUGAUUGUUAUAGCCCUUGCUAAUGGGAAGGAAGAACUAGCAUACUGAUACUAAUAUGAUAUUUGACUCCUUUAUGAGGGGUCCACUGUUAUGGGUUAUUCUUGAUGAAGAAGAAUACCACACUGAUUACAUGAUUCAUUCUUGGAAACCUCCCAAAUAUGUAAUAUUUGAUAUGAUACGAUGCUUUUGGAGUUUAUUACUGAACUAUUGGUUCACUUGGCUUACAUGAAACAAUGAUAUUGUUUAUCGUUACUAUUUUCUGAAAGAGCAUUAUUUCAUAAUGUUUUAUGAAUUGUCCCCAUUUAAAUGGUUGUGGUUAAGUGUUAUUACUCACUGAGCUAGCGUCUCACUCCUCACUAUUAUUUUUCAGAGAAUGCAGGUGACGGUGAGGAUCACGUUGGCUAGAGGAUCCGAGCAGCAUAUUUCUGGUGAGCCCCGCAAUUGUUUGCGUGGGCUAUAGUUUAUUUAUUCGCUAUGUUUCUUUUUCUUGAAAACUCGUAGUUUGCUCCAUAGUCAUGUCUCUAGAGUUUGAGUAUUCUUUCAUUAUUUUGGAUUUGUGGAGUAUUUGACUUCCUCUUAUUUUUGGAGAUGGAUUUCGUAUUGUUAGUUGGUGGUAUUGGUGAAUUGUUGAUGAUCUAUGGUGAAUUGUGUUGGUGUUUGUGUGAUGGUAUACGUAGUAUGCUUACAAAAAUUGAUUCUUAAUUAACUAAAUACGAAAUUUCUACGACAAUUCGAUAUUGAUGAAUGACACUACUUCAAUUUCAACACUCUAUGACACCAUUCAGUAGAUUCUACUUUUAGUAUUUCUAAUGCAUGUUUGAUUCUAAUAUUAUUUUCGAAGACCUCAUACUAGGUAUCAAUUAAUAUGAAUAUUAUAUUAAAAUUUUCAUAUUAAUUGUUAUUGUUUUAAAGAAAUGUAAAAAGUCUAGAGUUGAUAAGAAAAAGUAAAGAUAGAAAAUACUCCCCCCUUAACAAUACUUAUCCAUGUUAUUUUUCCCCAUCCAUCUUUAUUUUUCUACUUUUUUAUUUUUGAGAUGUUAAAUAAUAUUUAUCUAGUUUAUAAAAUCAAUGGAUAAUUUACUUUUUUUUAAUCCAUUUUACCAUUAGCAUUAAAUAUGGUUCAUUAUCUAACACAUUUUUUAAAAUAUUAAAUCUAUUAUAUUCAAAUGGUAAUAUGAUAAAAUUACCCCCCAUCAUUUAUUAUUUCUUAAUUCAUGCGUAAAUAGAAAAGUAGAUAAAUAAAGAUGAAUGGAGAAAGUGCUAAAGAUAGUGUCCAACAAUAUUUGCCCAGUUUAGAAAAUCAAUGCAUAAUUUAUCUAUUUUGAUUCAUUUUACCCUUAGUUAUUAAUUAUAGUUGUUAUACAAUGCAUUUUCAGCAUUAAACUAAUUGCACUAAAAAAGUAAUUAAGUAGCCAAAUUAACUCUAUUAUUUAUUGUUAUAUCAUAUGUGUAUCAAGUUAAUAAUGAACAGUUAUUAUUGGACAAAGUGAUUUGAAGUUUUUACACUAAAUUAAAAAAUCUCUGUAAUAGACAAAAUUAUUUAAUUUUAAAUAAUCAAACGUUAUACUCAUGAGACUUACUAUAUUAAAAGUGUGAAGGACCAUAGAAAUAUUGUUUGAACUUUUUGCCCUUGAUUUAAAGAUUUCGGUUUAGAUAAAAUCGUCUUUUCAUUAUUUUAAUAAUAUUAAAUAUUAACUAUAAUAAAAAAUAAAAUCCUUUCCUAACAAAAAUAGGAUACCUUUUCCAAUUAAGGCUGCUUAUCGGUUGGAUCGGUUGGAUAAUUAUGCUUAACGGUUCGACUUAUUGGUUAUCGGUUUUUAAAUAUGCUAAUCCACUAGCCACCCAAUAAGAUAACGGUUGGUUCGGUUUCAAAUUAGCAAUUAACGGAUGGAUAUCGGAUGGUGUAAUGGAUAAAUUUAAGGGAGAAUAAAAUAUCGAGCGAUUAUUGGUAGUUCCUCCGUUUCUUCACCAACUAAGUUAUUUGUAUACUAUGAUUGAUCUAUUUAUCAAUCUUUUAGGCUUCUUGAGUUUUGUUCGUGUAGUUAUUUAAUAGGUUAAAAUAUCAAAUCAAAUAAGAAAUUUCUUCUAGACCUUAAAUGUAUGUAAAAACAUUUUUAAUUACUGGAUUGACAGAAAAAAAUUAAAACCUUAAUAUAAACUUUGUGAAGGACACAUUUGGUUGUUUCAUUUUUAUUGCGGUCCUUUGUGUUGACAAGAAUAAUUUAUGUUUUGGUUUAAGAAUUAAUUUCAGAUUUUCUUUAUAUUUUAGGGAGUCUAACUGGACUUUAUGGUUAGAUGUCACAAGAAGUGGCAUGUUAUUUUCUAAAUAAAGAAGUGAAUAGAAUAAUAAAUGAAGCUUUAUAUGUUGGAUUGACAAAAGCUACUUAUAUAUCUAGGGGUAAAAAUAUAAUUAUAAUAAUUCUUAAUGGAUUAAUGGUUUACCCGAUAAGAAAAUUGAGUAAUUCGUCCCCACACCAAUAAGCCAUUAAUUAUAAAAAUUUAAUCCGUUCUCCAACCAUUAAUCCGAUAACCCAUCCAUAAGAAUAAUCAAAGAUUGAAAAUAAAAAAGGAAUCAAAAGAAAUAAGGAGAAGACUGAUUAAUAACAUCAAUAUACAACCAACCGUAGAGUUCCAUGUUAUAGUGGACAAAGAAAAUAGAAAAAACUCAAAUGUCAUCGAAUUAUAAAAAAUGGUUCAUUUAUGUCAUUCAUUAUAAGUUAGAAAAGGGCUCAAAUAUGUCUUUGAUCUUUGAGAAAAGGCUCAUCUAUGUCAUUCAUUUAAAGUUUGGCUCAUUCAUGUAGUUGCCGUUACAAAAAAGGCUCAUUCAUGCCACUUUUUAGCAAUCUAGUUUGGUGAUUUUUGACAAAACCAUUUUGUACACGUGGUCAACAAUGAUUCGUCCACUUCAUUAAUUAAAUAAGCCAAAAAAAUUAAGAAAAAAGGCUCAAAUAUAUUAUUAAACUAUCAGAAAUAGCUCAUCUAUGCCAUUAGUUAAAAGUUUGGCUCAUUUGUGUCAUCGCCAUUAUAAAAUCAACUCAUCCAUACGGUUACUUUUUAAUGGUGAAUUUUCAAAAAUAGCUUUACCACGUGAUUUGUAAAGGAUCACGAAUUUUUUCAGAUUAUGCUUUACAGAAAGAUAUUAGCUAUAGUCUUCGGCUUUCAGAUUUCAGAUUUAAGAGUGAGUCAUUUCUACACUUAGACAGUAUGAUUUAAAGAGAGAAUACAAGUACAACUUUUAGAACUAAAUGUUAUGACUCACUAGAUUUAUAAAGUAUGAUUUGCUUCUUAUUAUUACAGAUUUCAAUUUUUAGAUAUUUCAGCUUAUGUGAGUCAUUUUCAUUUAGCAUGCAUUGUUUUACAAAUUAUGAUGAUGAGAUAAUGUUUUACUUAUGCAUUCACCCCCAUAUAAUCAGUAUAUCCUCAAAGUACUAAUCCACAUAUACAUCUAUGUGCUACAUUGUAUCAGAAUGUAGGUACGAGUUGUAGCAUGCAUACCAUAUUCAGACAGUUUGCAGCUUCCAGUCAGCAGGUGAUGAGUCCUUUUGAUUCAAGGGCUCAAGUCAGUCUUAUAAUUUGAGAAAUAUUUUAUUUUUCCUUAUUCAGUCAUAUUAAUUUGGAAUAGUUUUGGGUCAUUUUCCGGCUACCUAUAGUCAAUACUAGUAGAUACUUCAUAGACAGUCAGUAGAGUUAAUGUAUUUGAUUCCAGUGUUGUUUUGUAAAAGCAGGGCAGUAAUCAUUUUAAUUUAGUUUUGUAUUGAUCAGAUUUAGAAAAGAGUUAUCUUCCGCCGAUUUCAUUCAAGUUUAUGCAUUUUAUUAUGAGUUAUACCAGUAGAAGGGUUAUCUUUUCAUCACUUGUGGCCCUAAGUACCGUGUGACGUCUCGGGACCCAUUUUUGGGGCGUUAAUGUUCAUUAUGUGGGAAUCAAAAGGUAAUUAUUGAACUGUUAAGUGCAGGAGGUGGAAAUUUGGAUGUGAUUGGAUGCUCAGAGAUCGAAAAACACCAACAAACUUAUGGACUAUCGAAAAAUAUUAUGGAAGACAUACUUGUCAAAUAGGUGUAAUCCAAGAUGAUUAUUUUAACUUGGAUUCUAAAUUAAUUGCUUCUUUGUUGCUACCUUUCCUCAGGAAUAACCCUCAAUUUAAGUCGAAAGAUGUCUAGACUACUGUUGAGGUUGAAUUAAAACGUACACCUUCCUACAAAAAGGCAUGGCUUGGCCGAAGACGUGUUUUCAAAUUCAUAUAUGGAGACUUUGAUCACCCUUUCACACAACUUUCAGUGUACAUGAAUGCACUUCAACAUUUUAAUCCAGGAAAGGUAGUGGAAUGGAUGCAUGCCGAUGAAUCAACAUCAGAGGUAAAUAUUUUGCAAUAUGCGUUCUGGGCAUUUAAACCUUGAAUAAAAGGUUUUAAAAUAUGUAGACUAGUUAUCUCUAUUGACGACACUCACAUUUAUGGAAAGUAUGAUUUAAAGAUGUUGAUUGUUGUUACUGCUGAUGUAAAUGGGCAAAUAUUUCCACUUGCUUUUGCAAUUGUCAACAAGGAAACCAAAGACGCAUGGUCAUGGUUUUUAUAGUGCCUUGGAAUUCAUUUGGUACCUGGUCGUAGAGGUGUUACAUACAUAUUUUAUUGUGAUCCUGGAAUACUUAGAAGUUUUAAUGAUUUGGUUGAGUUACAUGAUCCGAAUGCAUAUCAUCGCUUUUGUCUUAGGCAUGUGAAGAGUAACUUCCUGUCUAACUUUCCUAACAAGCAACUUGAGGGAUUAAUGUGGAAGGUUGCUAUUCAACACCAUGAGUGCAAAUUUAAAGAUGUUAUGCAAUGUUUGAAAGAUGUUGAGCCAGGUGCGUACAAUUUCUUAAAUGAAAAUUUCAUUAGAAAAGUGGACGGUUCAUUGUGUUGGCGGUAAAAGAUGGGGCAUUUUAACAACCAAUCUUUCUGAAUCUUUCAAUGGAUUUUUAAAAAAAUCUCAAAGUCUUCCAAUUACUGUAAUGAUUAAACUUACAUAUGAUCAAAUUGUGGAAAGAUUUGUGUCCAGGAAGCAGUAUGUACAAGAGCCCAUUAAUGAAAAGAACUAUGGCCACCUAUGGUUGCAAAAAAAAAUCAAAGUAUGAAUUGAAGUGCAAAACCAUCAGGUGACAAACUAUAACAAAGAAACAAGGGUAUUUGAGGUUGAAAUAUAUCAUCGUCAAGGUCGUGGUGGCAGAACACAUAUCAUUAAAUUUAGUAGGAAUACGUGUGAAUGAAAAAAGUGGCAAGCAUAUCACAUGCCAUGUUCACAUGUGUAGAAGGUUACUGUGCAGAUGAAUAGGGAUGCACAUGAUUUGGUCAGUGAAUAUUAUAGCGCAGUGAAAUAUUUUGAGACAUAUCGAGUGUCAUUUCAAUCACUUGAAGAUGAAGCAAACUGGCCGGAAGCGCCCUUAAAAUGGUUUGCAAUGAGACAUUUAUUCAAAAGAAAGGAGCUAAAAAACUACACGUUUUUCAAAUGAUAUGGACGUUGGACAUACAAGAUACUCAAAAGCUUGUGGAAUCUGCAGAAUAAUAGGGCAGGCAUAGCUGUCCGAACCAAAAACGUGCAAAUAAUAAUCGUAGACAAUAGCUUAAGUAUAUUUGUAUUUGUAAUGUCAUAUUAUGUACUUUUUGUUAUUUUCUUGGCUUAGUUUUAUCAGUUAUUCUUAUGAAUGAACACUUAACAAUUUGAAUUCAUGGUAUCAAUGUUAUCAGGGACUGUCCACAAGCUUGAGCAAUUUGAGCAUAAUCUCUUUGAGUUGAACUAAGAUCAGUAGUUAAGAGAAGAGCAAGCAUUCUUGAAUUCAAAAUCAUACAGUAUGUAUUUAAGAGGUAGAAGUACUGCAUAUAGUUAAAUUGAUAUUGACAUUUUUUUUCAAAACAAUAUAAGAAUAGCUCUUUACCUAGGAAUUUUGCAAAGCAAUCCAGCAUGUGUACUUAAUGGACUUUAAGUAUCUUAGAAAUUUUGCAGCUUAAGCAAUAAAAAACAUAGAAAUAAUAUAAAAUUUUCAUUGUUGAAUAUAUUGUCCAUACAACACUCGAUUUGCUAAAUGUUUUCAUUGAUAAGUAAUUUCAUUUAGCUGCUAAUAUAAAACUGAACACUAGUUAUAGAACCUGCACUAUCUCACCCCAUCACCUACUAAUUGACAAGAGACUUUUGCUACUCUAUAUUACUCUAUAGUUUGUCACCCAAACGUUACACUUGCAGCUGCUGACCACAAAACCGAUAGCUGCUGGCCACAAAGUUUUUUUUUUUAAAGAAUUAGUCUUUGAUAGCUCAAGAAUUAGCUAUGAUGUAACAUCAAAUACUAGACACGCCAUUAUGAAGAGUUGUUAUCAAAUACUAAGCAAAUUUAUCAAAUAUUAGACAUGUGUUAUGAAGAGUGUGUAGAAAAUAUAUAUGGAUAAGUUCCAUGCUAUCUAUCAUUUUUCUAGUAAUUAUAAUAUAUGGAUACGAGCAAGUAUAAAAUAUUAUCCGUUAUAUCGUAUUGCUAAAAAAUUAUACAAAACAUUAUCUGUCAGAUAAUACAAAAAAUCAAUGGAGUCUCAUAACCUCUAGGAUGGAUAUCUGCUCGAGGCCUAAGCAUGUGGGGAUGUGCUGGUUCCCCGCCGUCUAUUUCAUCUGGCAUAGUCCUCCUAAUAGCCGUAGCAUCCUGGCAUCUACCUCUGUUGGGUAGCCUAUCACGUGGUCUACCACUUCUUCUACCUCUAACACCCAACGUAUUCUCGCCAUGAUCAUCAACUUGAGACUCAAGUUCUACACCAUUAUCAUCUACUUGAGGCUCAAGUUCUAGCAUAAAAUAAACUGUAUCAGUAGAAGGCAUUCUUUGUGGAUUGGGGUCUAGAAUGAUUGAAGAGUGUCUAUAAAAUCUGAAUCCAUGAAUUUUGUGGGUUGAUAUUGUAACACCCAGCAUUUUUUUAGCGCAAUCUAAGUCCCUAUACAUGAGUGGUCACAUAUAAAAUUUCUGAAACACUCAUUAUUUUUCAGUUUAGAGCCUGUCAUUGCAUAGAAAAUUCAAUUAUCUUACCAACGAUAUAAAAUUUACCUAAAUCUGAUAACUGAGUAAGAAGUUAUGGCGAUUUUAAGUUUCAGUUGUUAAAUACCGUUAUUUUACCCAUCAACACGUCAUGGAGCCAGUGUAAAUAGCAAUUGUCAUUUUUCCAGUGAGGAUUCGUGAUUAUGGCGCAUGGCGCCAUAAGCCUAGUUCAGAAUAAUCAAUUUCCAGUGACCCUACGUGAUACCACCGCAUCACGAUAAGUCCAGAUUUCAGAAUCAAAGGGGUACCACUAUUUCGCUGUGUCGCACCAAAGGGGAAAAUUAGGAAUUUUCAAUUUCGAGAUUUAAUUCCCAAGGGCUUUUAGGUAUUUUUCCCCAGUCCAGUCAGCCUAAACAUGGGAUUAAAGUCCUAAAUGCCCUAUUAUGCCAUCAUUUACUCACUCUUCUCAAGAAAUUAAAAUUUCCUCUCCCUAAUAGCAAAACCCUAAUUUCAAGAGAAUCAAGAACAAGCUCAAGAACUCACCAAGAACUCUAAGAAAUUCAUCCAUUAAGGUAUAUUAAAUGUUCAUCCAUGGGUUACUUUCACCUAUAGAGUCGUUAGUAGUAGUCCCUAUACUCCAGAACUACGUAGCCAGCGUAGGAUAUGAGUAUUCACCUGUCAGAUUAGGCUUGACUGUCUCGCAGGGGUCACACGUCAGUUCAGGCUUGAAACCUUUAGUCCUUUGGAUAUUAUAUCAGUUUAGUGGAUCCACACAGCCAGUGUUAGUACCCGUGGCACGGUAUUAACACCCUUCUAACUGGGGUUACAGGUUGGACCCCGAUUAGCUUAGAUUGGGGCAUGUCGGUUAGAUGAUACCUCCCACAGUCUCAGUUACAGUCCCAGUUCAGUUAUUCAGUCUUAGUAUUUCUUGAUCAAGGCAUAUAGAUAUCAAUAUAUUUUCUAGUACUUCAGAUUAUAGAUUUUACUCAGUCCAUGUUAUAUGCCUGGUCAUACUUUUUCAGUGUCUAUAGAUUUUCACAUAUUUUCAGUAUUUACAAACUCUUAUGCAUAUACAAUAAUUACAUGCUUUAUAUAUCUCCAGUAGCUAUAGGAUUCAUGUUUUAUACUCAGAACUCCAUGCUUUACAUAUAUAUCCAAAUAAUUUAUUGCUUCCAUUCAUGAAACCUUGCAUAUCACCUACCUAAUUUAGCAUACCAGUACAUUCAAGUACUGAUCGCAUACUUUUAUUUUAUGCUAUGAUGUCUCAUAUCAUAGGUGCUAACACUCAGUUCUCGGAUCAUACCUAGAUUCUUAGAUUAUCAGAAACACAGUAGUAGUGGUGAGUCCUCAUCAUUCGAGGACAGAUUACUUUACUUUAUGUCUUUAUUUCAGUAGUUAGUAGAGUUAGUUGGGGGCCUGUCCCAUCAACUCUCAGUCAGUCAUUCUUAGAGGCUUUUCAGACACUACAGUUAGUUAGUUAUUCAUUUUGUCAGUAUUUUCUCAGAUUCAAACAGUUAUUUUUCCUAGAUUUAUAUUUUAUUUUUGAAUUCAUAUAUUAAAACCUUAUGGCAUUUUAGUUAUUUUUUCAUAUUCAUGACUAUAUUAUUCAGUGCUCACAACAAGUACCAGCUCAUGGGUUAGUUUGUGGUCCCUUAGUACUGUAAGCACCGUGUAAUGACUAGAGGGUAGUCUCGGCUCUUUAUAAACUUGGUAUCAGAACCUAAGGUUUUAAAGUGUCCUAGGAAGUCUGAAAGUCACGUCAAGUAGAGUCUUGUGCAUGGGUGUGUAGCGUGCCACACUUAUGGACGAGAGGCUACGAGGUGUUUAGGAAAAGUUUCCCUUAUUUUAGUAUUCAUGUCGUACGAGUGACCAUAAGCUCAAGUUAAACUCUUAGUCUGAUUCGUUUACAGAACAUGUCUCCUAAGAAAAAUAAAAGAAGAAUAGGAACCCAGCCAGCUCCUCAGCCCAUCCAGAUAGAUUCUCUGGAUAAGUAUGUCUGUCACGCAGAAUUCAGAGCUAUGUUUACUACUCUAGCAAACUCCGUAGUAGAACAGAAUGAAUGCCCAGCUACUAUUUCAGCCAAUCCAGUGGCCAAUACUGCUGCAACCAGAAUUUGAGACUUUACCCGAAUGAAUCCCCCUUCUUUCACGGGUUCUUAGUCUGAAGAGGAUCCACAGGAAUUAUUAGAUAUGGUUAAGAAGGUAACGGAUACUAUGGGGGUGAUGUCUAGUCAGAGUGCUGAGUUAGUUGCAUAUCAAUUACAGGAUGUAGCCCAUACUUGGUUCAAACAGUGGAAAGUUGAUAGAGGUAUUAAUGCAAGGCCUAUAGAAUGGAAAGAGUUUGCCACAACUUUCUUGGACAGAUUCUUUUCAUUAGAGUUGAGGGAGGCCAAGGUAUUACAAUUUAUUAAUUUCAGGAAAGGAAGCAUAAGUGUGAGGGAGUAUUCUUUCAAGUUCACUCAGUUAGCUAGAUAUGCUUCUCAUGUGGUAGCUGGUAGUAGGUCCAAGAUGAGCAAGUUUGUGUCUGACAUAUCUGAUAAGGUGAUUAAGGAGUGUGGGACCACAAUGCUGAUUAGUAAGGUGGACUUGUCUAUAUUGAUGGUCCAUGCUCAAUAAAUAGAGAAUGAAAAGAUUAAGGAGAGGAAGAAGGGAAACAAGAAAGCUAGGAUGGGUAGUUUUACUUUUAAUCAUCCAAAGUCAGAGGGUGGUAAUCGUCCUUAGUUUCAUCAGAGCUCUUCAACCCCAGUACCUUCUUCAGCCAAUGCCCCAAUACCCAAAUUCAGAAAUGAUAAUAGGAAUAGGGCACAAGGCUCUAAGUCCCAGGUCAGUGUUAGUAGUGCUCGUACCAAUCCUUUAUGUCAGAAAUAUGGCAGACACCAUCAGGGUGAGUGUAGAGAGGGUAGUGAUGUGUGCUCGGGUAUGGCAAGCCAGACCAUCGAUUCAGAAGUGUCGGGUAGUUGCUUAGAAAGGUAGGGAUGUGCGCCAACAGGGCCAGUCUAAUCAGUCAUCCAUUCCAUCCGAUCGCCCAACUCAGUAGGGUACUGCUUUCAGUGCUACCAGUGCUCAGUGUCCAAACCGCUUAUAUUCUCUUCAAUCCCACCAAGAUCAGGAAUAUUUUCCUGAUGUAGUUACUGUUACAUUGCAGGUCAUUCACUUACAUGUUUAUGCUUUACUAGACCUUGGAGCUUCUCUUUCUUUUGUUACUCCAUAUAUAGCCAUCAAUUUUGGAGUCAGUCCCGAUACUCUAGAAGAGCCCUUUUCAGUUUCUACCCUAGUAGGUGUUUCCAUUGUAGCUAGGCGGGUAUACACAAACUGUCCAGUCAUAAUAUCUCAAAAAGUUACCUCAGUUGAUCUCGUGGAAUUAGAGAUGAUGAAUUUUGAUGUUAUUCUCGGCAUAGAUUGUCUCUACUCAUGUUAUGCCUCUGUUGACUGUAGAAACAGAAUAGUUCAUUUUUAGUUCCCAAAUGAACUAGUCCUUGAAUAGAGGGGUAGUACUACAGCUCUUAGGGGUUAGUUGAUUUCGUACCUUAGAGCGAGAAAGAUGAUGUCCAAGGGGGGUAUCUACCAUCUUGUAUGAGUUAAGGACUCUAACUUAGAAUAUCCUACUUUUGAGUCAAUCUCGAUAGUAAAUGAAUUCUCAUAUGUGUUUCCUGAAGAUCCUCUCGGAGUUUCUCCCAAAAGGGAAAUCGACUUCAGAAUAAACCUUCUCCCAGAUACUCAGCCUAUAUCUAUUCCACCAUACAGAAUGUCUCCAGCAAAACUCAAAGAGUUGAAAGAAUAAUUAAAGGAUCUUCUAACUAAGGGAUUCAUCAAUCCAGGGUCUCCCCAUAGGGCACACCUAUCCUAUUCAUGCAUAAGAAAGAUGGUUCCCUUAGAAUGUGCAUUAACUACCAUCAGUUGAACAAGGUCACAGUCAAGAAUAAAUACCCACUUCUUAGAAUCGAUGAAUUGUUUGACCAAAUUUAAGGUGCCAGUUACUUUUCCAAGAUAGACCUCAGAUCAGGCUAUUUUCAACUUAGAGUCAAAGAAUGUGAUAUUUCGAAAACUGCUUUCCAAACUCGGUAUGGUCACUUUAAAUUUCUAGUCUUGUCUUUUGGUCUUACCAAUGCCCCAGCAUCUUUCAUGGACUUGAUAAACCGAGUGUUCAAGAAGUACUUGGACAUGUUUACCAUAGUCUUUAUUGAUGACAUUCUUUUCUAUUCUCAUAGUGAAAAUGAUCAUGCAGACCACCUCCAAAUAGUACUUCAGACUCUUAGAGUUCACCAGUUGUUCGCUAAAUUCAAUAAGUGUGAAUUCUAGCUAAGAUCAGUAGCUUUUCUUGGCCAUAUUAUUUUUGGUGAUAGCAUUACGAUGGAUCCUCAAAAGACCAAAGUGGUGAGAAACUGGCCUAGACCCAUCUCUCUAUCAGACAUCAAGAGUUUCUUGGGUUUAGCUAGCUAUUACCAUCGGUUUGUUAAAGGAUUUUCUUCUAUUGCGUCCCCCAUGUCCAAAUUGACUCAGAAAAAAGUUAAGUUUCAGUGGUCAGAUUCUUAUAAGAAGAGUUUUCAGAAGUUGAAGACUCGAUUCACCUCAUCCCCAAUUCUUACCUUACCAGAUGGUUCUGAUGGGUUUGUUGUGUACUGUGAUACAUCCAGAGUAGGUUUGGGUUAUGUCCUCAUGUAGAGAGGUAAGGUCAUAGCCUACUCCUCCAGACAGCUCAAGCCCUAUGAAAAGAAUUAUCCGACUCAUGAUCUUGAGUUAGCAGCUAUAGUGUUUGUCUUAAAGAUUUGGAGGCAUUACUUGUAUAGGGUGUAUAUAGAUCUAUCUAUUCAUAGAUCAUAAAAGUCUUUAGUACGUCUUUUCUCAUAAAGAUUUAAAUUUGCAUCAGAGAAGGUGGUUAAAGUUAUUAAAGGAUUAGGACAUGAGUGUUCUAUAUCAUCCGAGAAAAGCCAAUGUAGUGACUGAUGCUCUCAGUAGAUUGUCUAUGGGUAGUGUAGCUCAUGUGGAGGAUGGUAAGAAGAAGUUAGCUCGGUAAGUUCAUCAGCUUGCCUGAAUAGGUGUUUGCUUAGUCGAUUCAUCAGAAGGUAGUGUAUGGGUAUAGAGUAUCUCAAAAUCAUCUCUAGUUUCCGAGGUAAAGAAAAAGCAGGAUAGAUAUUCCAGUUUAGUUAAGUUGAAGAAAUUAGUCAGAGAUCAGAAAGUGAAGGUUUUCUCCCAAGAGGGAGAUGGUGUGUUGCGCUAUCAGGAUAGAUUGUGUAUGCCUGGUGUAGAUUAUUUUAGGAAAUGAAUUCUUACAAAAGCGCAUAGUGCACAUUAUUCUAUUCAUCCAGGGGCCGCCAAGAUGUACUGCAACUUGCGGGAGAUGUAUUGGUGGAGUAGGAUGAAGAGAGAUAUUGUAGAGUUUGUAGCUAAGUGAUCUAUAUAUCAGCUUGUUAAGAUUAAGCACCAUAAUCCUAGUGGGUUCGUGCAGGAAUUCAGUAUUCCCAUGUGGAAAUGGGAAGAAGUGAACAUAGAUUUUGUGACAGGUUUGCCUCAUACUCAUCAUCAGCAUGAUUCUAUUUGGGUUAUCGUAGACAGGAUGACCAAAUCAGCUCAUUUUUCUCUAGUACAUACCUCUUAUUCAGCUGAGGACUUUGUCAAUCUCUAUCUCAGGGAGUUGGUUAGGUUGCAUGGUGUUCCCGUAGCUAUCAUCUAGGAUAGAGGUACCCAGUUUACCUCUCACUUCUAGAAAGUGUUCCCAAAGGGUCUUGGUACCCAAGUCCACCUCAGUACAGCCUUCCACCCUCAGACAGAUGGUUAAGAAAAAGGACCAUUUAUACUCUUGAGAAGAUGCUAAGAGCAUACGAAGUUGAAUUUAAAGGUAGUUGGGAUAACCACUUACCUUUGAUUGAGUUCGCAUACAAUAAUAGUUAUCAUUCCAGUAUUCGUAUGGAUCCAUUUGAGACUCUCUAUGGCAAGAGAUGUAGAUCUCUAAUUGGUUGGUUUAAAGUAGGUGAGGCUGCAGUAGUAGGGCCUGACUUAGUGUUUGAUGCCUUAGAGAAGGUUCAGUUAAUUAGAGAAAGGCUUAGGGUUGCCCAGAGCCGACAAAAAUCAUAUGCAGAUAUGAGAAGAAAGGAUCUUAAUUUUGAGGUCAGUGAUUUUGUGUAUCUAAAAAUCUCUCCCAUGAAGGGAGUGAAGAGAUUCGGCAAAAAAGGGAAACUUAGUCCCCAAUAUAUCGGUCCCUUCAAAAUUCUCAGUCGUUUUAAAAAGGUAGCUUAUGAGCUUGAGUUGCCUUCAGAUUUAGCCUCAAUACACCUAGUGUUUCAUGUCUCAUUGUUGAAAAAGUAUAUUGGUGAUUCAGUUGUAAUUGUUCCCUUAAAGAGUGUAGAUAUUCAGAAUAGUCUUUCCUAUGAGAAAGUUCCGAUCGAAAUUCUCGAUCAUCAAGUUCGUAGACUAAGGAACAAAGAAGUUCCACAAGUCAAAGUUCUUUUGCGGAACCAUUUCGUUGAGGGAGCCACUUGGGAAGCAGAGGAAGAUAUGUGGACCAAGUACCCUCAUCUUUUCUCCACGAAUCUAGAUUCAGUUUAACGUACCAAUCCUCUUAAGAUUUUUCUCUAUUAUGCUCAAUUUCAGCCGCACAUUAUGUUCAUGUCAGUUGUGCAUUCAUGAAUCAAUUCAUUCAUGCAUUCCAUGCAUCAAACAUGCAUAUUCAGUAUGUAAGAUCAUUCCAUCAGUUUCCUCAGCUUUACCAGUUCAUUCGGGGAUGAAUGAUCCCAAGGGGAAGAUAUUAUAACACCCCACAUUUUCCUAGCGUAAUCUAAGUCCCUAUACAUGAGUGUUCACAUAUAAAAUUUAUGAAAAUCUCAUUAUUUUUCAGUUUAAAGCCUGUCAUUGUGUAGGAAAUUCAAUUAGCUUUCCAACGAUAUAAAAUUUUCCUAAAUCUGAUAACCGGUAAGAAGUUAUGGCGAUUUUAAGUUUCAGUCAUUAAAUACCGUCAUUUUACCCAUCAGCGCGUUGCGGAGCCAGUAUAAAUAGCAAUUGUCAUUUUUCCAGUGACCCUACGUGAUACCACCGCAUCGCGAUGAGUCUAGAUUUCAGAAUUAAAGGGGCACCACGAUUCUGCCGAAUCGCACCAAGGGUGAAAAUUGAGAAUUUUCAGUUAAUUCUAAGAUUUAAUUCCCAAGGGCUUUUAGGUCUUUUUCCCUUAUUCCAGUCAGCCUAAUCAUGGGAUUAAAGCCCUAAAUUCGUUAUUAUUCCAUCAUUUACUCACUCUUCUCAAGAAAUUAAAACAUCCUCUCCCUAAUAGCAAAACCCUAGUUUUAAGAGAAUUAAGAAUAAGCUCAAGAACUCUGAGAAAUUCAUCCAUUAAGGUAUGUUAAAUGUUCAUCCAUGGGUUCCUUUCACCCAUGGAGUCCAAGUAUCUGAUUUUAAUUAUAAAGUUAUCAUCUUUUCAAGAUUCAUGAUAUUUAAUUGUGAUUUUAAACCAUGAGUCUCCAUGAACUUCCAUGAAUAUUGAUUUUAUACCUUGUUUUAAUGAGAUUAUCAUUGAUAUCAAUUCCCACAUGUCUCAAUAUCAUCAUUCUUUGAAUUAACUCAUGAUUAACUGUCAUUGGUGUUGAAAUCAUGUUAUUAUUUAAAUUUUAUGCUAUUUUUUCAUGAGUGGCUUAAACUAUGAACACCAAGUGUUUGAUAAAAUGCUUACAAGAAUGAAUAUUUGAUAAAGUUUUUCAUGCUAUGUCCUCUAAGCUUGAUAUUAUUUUACUAUUAUUGCUUUUGAGUCAUGGGGGUAUUGAAUACUCAAAAACCAUAGCUGUUUUAUUUGUCUAGUCUCAAUACAUUAUAGAAUAGUCUCCAGAUUAUACUAUGAGAAUUAUCAGAAUAGUCAGAUAUUAGUCAUUAAACUCAUAACAGUCUAGUAUCUCAAUGUCUUUCAGUUGGGAGUAGGACUUAGCAACGAGCGAGUGUAGAGAUGGAGGCUUCCCCGUCAGAUAGGCAAAGUUUUUAGUAGCAAUAUCUAUACUCCAGAACUACGUAGCCAGUGUAGGAUAUGAGUAGUCACCCAUCAGAUUAGGCUUGACUAUAUCACAGGGGUCACCCGUCAGUUCAGGAUUGACACCCUUAGUCUUUUGGAUAUUAUAUUAGUUUAGUGGAUCCACAUAGCCAUCGUUAGUACCUGUGGCACAGUAUUAAUACCAUUCUAACUGGGGUUACAGGUUAGACCCAGAUUAGCUCAGAUUGGGGAAUGUCGGUUAGAUGAUACCUCCCAUAGUCUUAGAUACAGUAUCAGUUACAGUCCCAGUUCAGUUAUUCAAUCCUAGUGUUGCUUGAUUAAGGCAUACAAAUAUCAGUAUAUUUUCCAGUACUUCAAAUUACAAAUUUUACUCAGUCCAUGUUAUUCCUAGUCUUACUUCUUCAGUGUCAACAGAUUUUCACGUAUUUUCAAUAUUUACAGAAUCUCAUGCAUAUAAAAUAAUUACAUACUUUAUAUAUCUCUAAUAGCUAUAGGCUUCAUUCCCUAUACUCAGUAUUCCAUGCUUUACAUGUAUAUCUAGCUAGUUUAUUACUUCCAUUCAUGAAACUUGGAUAUCAACCUACCUCAUUUAGCAUACUAGUACAUCCAAAGUACUGAUCGCAUACUUUUCUUUUGCGCUAUGAUGUCUCAUAUCAUAAGUACUGAUGCUCAGUUCUCAAAUCGUACCUAGAUUCUCAUAUUAUUAGCAGCACAGUAGCAGUGGUGUGUCCUAAUCAUCCGAGGAUAGAUUACUUUACUUCAUGUCUUUAUUUCAGUAGUUAGUAGAGUUAGUUGGGGUCCUGUCCCAUCAACUCUCAGUUAUUCAGUCUUAGAGGCUUUUCAGACACUACAGUCAGCUAGUUAUUCAGUUUAUCAGUAUUUUCUCAAAUUCAGACAGUUGUUUUUCCUAGAUUUAAAUUUAAAUUUUGAAUUCAUCUAUUGAAACCUCAUGGCAUUUCAGUUAUUUUUCCGCAUUCAUGACUAUAUUUGUAAUACCCCGAUCAUUUCUUAAGCCUAAAUCUGUCUUUUUGAAUGGAUAUGUAUGAAUUCUGAAGUGAUUUAUGUUUAAACCAUGUUGUAUUUCUCUAAUUUCCACUUUUUUUCAUGUAUAGCAUUGAAUAAGCUUUCCAUUGAUACAAAUUUCAUCAAAAUCUGACAUCGGAUGAAGGAGUUAUGGUCGUUUUACUAAACGGUAUCAGAACGCCCAGGUUUGAUGAUAGACUUGGUGGACCGUCAGGUCCCUAGUGGCCCGUCAAGUGUCCCAUCAAGCCAAGGCAGUAACCUUCUUUUUGGUCCAUUGUGUGAUGACCUGGUUGGUGGACCAUCAUAAAGUUGACUGACCGUCAAGGUGUCCGUCAGAUCGAGACAGAAUGUCUCAUUUUUGGCCCUCAAGUGACGGACGACUUGGUGGACCAUCACUUUUCUGACGGACAGUCAGGUCAACCAUCACAUCGAAGAAGAACGUUCCAGUUUUGCUGGUCGAGUGACGGACGACUUGGUGGACUAUCAGUCCUUCUGAUAGAUCAUCAAAUCGACCGUCACAGGCCCCAAUCAGCAAAUUUUAGUAUUUUUCAAAAGGGAAUCUUGGUCAUUUCCGCUCCUUGUGGCCUUGUAUAUAUAUCGAUGUAGAGAAGAAAAGAUCAUUUUCUCUCAAUUUUCUCUCCAAUUUUCUUUCAAGAAUUCUCUAGAAACCUAGGGUUUUUUCCAAACCCAAAAAUGAAAUCAUCUCCAAGAAAUUCAAGAAAUCUCCCAUAAAUUUCUUCAAGUUGUUCAAGAACUAAGUCCCUCAAGUCAAAGGCAACAUGGUCUUGAUCUAAAAGUGUGAGAAAGAAGUUUCAAGCAAGUUUCUAUAUCUUCCAAAUCAAAAUCUAAGGUAUGUGGGGUUUGAACAAGAACACUCCUUUUCGUUCUUGUGCCCAAAGAUUUACUUUCUAUUAUUGAUUUACAUGAUAUUGCAAGUGGGUUUAAACCCAAAUUUCUCUAUUAAUGAUUUAUGAGAUUUGAGUUGAAUAAGUUUGAUAUUUAUGAUUAUUUCACUACCAUGUUUCUUAAAUUGAGAAUUUAUUCCAUGAGCCGUAUUUUAUCAUUACGUAUUGAUGAUUUCUAAACAAUUUAAGUCAAGUUCCCUGAGUUGAAUAUUUUUAUUACGAAUUGAUGAUUUUUAACUGAUUUGAGACAAGUGUCAUGAGUUAUUCUUUCCAUGAGAAAUUUGACUAUUGAAUGUAUAUUGAUAUGUGAAAUUGAGAGGCAAGAAUGAGUCUUAUGAUGUUUCUAUGAAGUUUUUGAUAUUUGAAAUGAUUUGAUAAACAAAUGUAUUUGAUAUUGAGAAAGCUUGUGUUGAGUUGAGUCGAGUUAGGAAUCCACAAGAUGUUUAUGAUUUUCAGAUAAGAUAUGUAUUCAUUUUUUGGUUUUUAUAAUAGAAUCAUGAGUUGAUAUUGAUUGGGGUGGAUUUCCCAACACGUUCUGAGCUGAGUCUGGGAGGGGUAUUUAGCACCGAGCAGAAAAUUUGGUAUUUCCCCAAAAGUACAUGACACCGUAGGAUUGAUGUUAAUAAUUAUGGGCCAAAUGCCGAGUAUGAGAUUGUGAAGAUGAGAUUGAGGUUGUACUUCUUGGUAAGAGUACAACACCCCUGCCAAUGUGGGGUUCUCUCUUUAGGAGGGAAAAACAGUGAACUCCAUGCGGCUCACAUGGUGUAGUUAUGUUGGUUAUAAAAAACUCCCACGUCCAUAAUGAUUUAAGUCUCUUGAGUUACCGAGUCACUCUAAGUCAUGAGUUAAAGAGUUUGAGUUGAGAUAAAUGAUUUACGAGAUUUAUGAAGCAUGUAUUACUACUGAUGAUUUAUGAGAAAAAUGUUUCAGAUAAUUCAAGCGAAGAGAAUUAUUAUGGUUAGCAUGCAUGAUUUUCUUAUAUAUUUAUGAUAUUAUUUAAAUGUUGCAUCCACCCCCGCAUACUCAGUACAUUCCCAAGUACUGACCCCCAUACUCUUUUGUAUUUUAUAUUUCCUCGCGAUAUAGGUUUAAGUGCUCAGUAUCAGCAGCGACAGUGACCUUUGAGUACCUUUCUCUACACUUCUACCGUUGGUGAGUCCUCAUGGUUCGAGGACCUGUGUCUCCAAUUUUGUCUUAUUAAUAGAUGGUUGUUUACUUUCAGUUCAGUACGAUCAAUUGGGGAUCUGUCCCAAUGGCUCCCCAGUUCUAUGUAGUAAAGGCUUUGUCAGACUAGUGUACCAACGUGUACAGAGAUUUCAGUAUUUUGUUUGUACAGGGCAGUAUUAUUUCAUGUUUCAGUAUGUUCAUGACAUGGUUAUUCCUCUUUAUCUUAGCAUGAUUUGCGCUAUAAUGAGUUCUGAAAGUGAUGACAAGUUUAAAGGGUUAGCUUGAGGCCACGUAUUGCCUUGAGCACCAUGUGAUGUCUCGGGAUAGGUUCUUGGGGUGUUAUAAUAUUAUUUAGUGCUCACAGUAGGUACCAGCUCAUGGGUUAGCUUGUGGUUCCUCGGGACCGUAAGCACCAUGUAACGACUAGGGGGUAGUCUUGGGUCAUUACAUGUAUGGCGUGCGAGGUGAGUACUAUGCGUAAUGCACUCUGGUUGAUACAAAACUAAUGGUGUAUCAUUCAAGUUAUAGCUUGUCUCACUAGGAUAAUGCGAGCUAGAAGCAUGUGUGUUCACUGGAAUGCCACUGAAGUGUUUUCUAAAAGAACUUGAUGGCCUAUCAGAUGAAACAUUGUCAUGAACAUGAAUCAAUUGGGUCCCUGUAGCCUCGCCUUUAUCAUAGUUGGGUCUUUCUUCCCAUCGUCUACCUCUACGCCUUGAUUGUGGCCGAGGUUCAACAUACUCAUCACCGCAAGGAUAUUGAACCUCGAUGCGGCCCCUACCUCAUUCACCAGGAACUCUAAAGGAAUUCAACACCAACUUAUAUAAUCUAUCUCCAUGUUUUAACCCCUUUUAACUCGAAGGGUUUGGAAACUAUCGAUUUUGACUUUUUAAACUAUUUCAAAACUUUAAAGAAUUUGAGAAAAUUUUGAAACAAUCUAAAAAAUUAUAGAGUCGCCACUAAAUUUAUUUGAAAAGAAAUUAAGAAAACUUUUUAAAAUAAAAUCCUAAGUCUUAAAACAGAAAAAGACUUAGGCUUUUAAGAAAAUCUUGGGUAAGAGGUUCUUAUUAAUAUUUUAGGAAGGUUUUUAAGACACUUAAAAUCUUCGCUAACUAGCGGUUAUCCAGGCUAUUUGAAAACCAUCUUUGACUAACUUUGAGAAUGAGAGGUUGGUUUUUGAAAAGAAAGCGAUUUAGGACGACACUUGUAUAAAAUAAAUUUUUGAAGACUUAGUAGAGAAUUUAACCAAGUCUAAGAAAAUAAAUAGCAAAUAAGAACGUAGAGAGUAAAGGGGAGAAUCAGAAGACUUAGGAUCUAAAGCCAAAACCAUCAACCCUGUCCUAAUCUGAUUGGGAUUUUGGCCCAUAACCUGCCCUAAACUAUUUUUUUGGGUUCAUAGGCCCAAAAUCGGCUUCAACUGUAUUAAACUAUAACUUUGGUCUUGAGGCUCCAAAUGAAUGAAUAAAUAAAAAGAAGACAAUAAUAAAAAUCGAGACUUUUCAAGUCUCUUAGUGACCGCAUCAAUGGGUUUUGACCCAUUUUUCUCCUUCAUCUAUCUUCUAGCACCCGCAUGCCAUAUAGUCGACCUUGAGUUUAAACUUCGAACUUGACUCGAAAAGGUAGGUAUCAUUGGCCCAUUACGAAAUGCAAGAGGAAAGGAGUCCAUUUGAACUCGAGACAUUUUUUGCAUGCAAAGAAAAGAUGAAGAAAUCAAUAUACAUUCAAGGCAUAAAAGUGACAUAUUUCAAAUCAAAAUAAAAUAUCAAGAACUAGUUUUGAAUUACAAUGAUAAGCACACUUGCACACGUAUAACAAGAAUGUGAGUCAACAGAUAAAAUCCAAAGCAAAGACACCCACUUACAUACCUCAUGCUUUAUGUUCAUAUUAAGAAUGAAUAAAGGUAAAAGGAAGAAGGCCAUAUUCAAUGAAUUAAUGCGAGAACAAAUAACAUAAGCUUGCGAAAGUAAAGGGAUGAGGCAAUAAGAAAAAUAAGCAUGACUUCUAAAAUUAAACAAACAUAGAAACUAAUCCAUCUAACAAAAUAAAAUAAAGGCUAACUUUUCAAGAAAAAGAAUCUUUAAAUUUCAAUUAAAGCAACAUUAACAAAGAUUCAUACAUCUAAAUUACAACCAACAUUUUAGGAAAAAACGUGUAACGACCUAUGGUUUAUCUUAAAGAGACACGAAUAAAGUCUUUACACACACAAAGAGUACAUAUAACAAUCCAAAUGAGGUAAGAAAAUUAGAAUAAAAGUAUAGCAUUUCUAAAAGUGAAAUAUCUUUCAACAAUCAUAUUAUACAUGACUCGAAAAUAUCUAAAUAAUUUUAUUUAGCAACAAAAGUCAAAACUUUCUCAUCAUUUUGACAAGUCAACAUGCGGAAAAAAAACAUUUUGGAUGAAAAAUAGCUAGUACUUCAUCUCUCAUAUGAGGAUUUUGAAAUCCAUUAAAAUAAUUAGCAAGCAAAUGAAAAGUUCUUGACUUAACCAAUUACUAUUUUAUUAAGUCAAAACAAACAAUAAUAACUAUUCUUUUUGACAUAAAGAAAAUAACUUUACAUGCUAAAAUAAAUGUAUCCACCAACAAUUAAUUUAAACAAAGCAUAAGAAUAUUUUGUAAGCAAAAAUAAAAACUUUAUUCAUAAUAAUCAAAGAAUAAAAUCAAAAAGGAGAAACACUCAAUACUAUCUAUUCUUUUCAACAUAAAGGAAACAACUUUACUUGCUAAAAACAAACAUAUCCACUAAUAAUGAAUUUAAACAAAACAUAAGUACAUCUUUUAAGCGAAGAUUGAAACUUUAUCUAUAAUAACUGAAGAAUAAAGUCAAAAAGGAGAAACAAUCAAUAUUAAUUAUUUUUUUCAACAUAAAGGAAACAACGUUACAUGCUAAAAACAAACAUAUCUGCCAACAAUGAAUUUAAACAAAACAUAAGUAUAUCUUUUAAGCAAAGAUUGAAACUUUAUCUAUAAUAAUCAAAGAAUAAAGUCAAAAAGAUGCAUACAAAUAUUGCUAGCUCAUUUUAUACCAUGAACAUGAAAAUAACCAUAAUAUCGAUACUACAACAUCCUAUGGCCUUCAAGGCCGUCUACAACAAAUAAUUCCAGCAAACAAAAUUAUAAGUACAAACUACAAAGAAGAAAAAAAAUGAAGAAGAAAACGAUAAUAAAACUAAAAAAAAGGUGUGUUUAUCUUUUUUGGCGCAGCAAAACAGGACUACAAGUUUUCUUCGGAGUCUUGAUCACCACCGAAAAGCGUUCAACUCGAGAACUUCGAUUACCCCACGAAUUUCAUGGAAAAGAAAAUUUUUUACUAAAAUAAAAACUCUUUUUUCCUCAAAGUUUUUUUUUCAACCUUGAGACUUGGUCUUUCUACUAAAAUAGUGAUAGUAUUUAUAUGAAAAGAUGGGGAUUCCAUUCUUUUCAUUCACCAAUAUAGGAGAAAGAAUUUAGAGGUGUUUUUAAAAUUUUAAAAUUGAAGAUAAAGUGAGGGAGAAAUUGUAUAAUGUAAUACAUUUUUUGAAUUUUAAAAUUGAAAAAGGACAAGGUUGAGGGGGGGAAUUGUACAAUGUAGUAGAAUGUAUUUGAAUUUGAAAAAAGAAAAGGUUUAGGGAGGGGGGGGGGGGGGGUAUAAAAAGAAAAGGCUGGUGAAAAUAGUACAAUGUAGUAUAAUUUUUGAAUUUUAAAAUUUAAAUUUGGAAAAAAGAAAAAGGUUAGGGGUAAAUUGUACGAUGUAGUACAAUUGUUAAAUUUUAAAAUUAGAAAAGGACAAAGUUGGGGGAAAUUGUACAAUAUAGUACAAUUUUUGAAUUUCAAAAUUUAAAUUUGGAAAAAAGAAAAGGUUGUGGGAAAUUGUACAAUAUAGUACAAUUUUUUAAUUUCAAAAUUUGAAUUUGAAAAAAAGAAAAAGUUGGGAGGAUUUGUACAAUGUAUUAUAAUUUUUAAAUUUUAAAAUUGGAAAAGGACAAAGUUGAGUAGGAAAUUGUACAAUGUAGUACAAUUUUUUAAUUUCAAAAUUGGAAAAAGAACAAAGUUGAGGGGAAAUUGUACAAUCUAGUAUAAAUUUGAAUUUUUUUGGGUGGAAAUUGGGUAGAAGUUAUGAAAGUUUUUGGUAAUUUUGGGGUUAUUUAAAAUAUAACCCCAGUUGAGAUUUAAAAUUUAGACAAAUUUAUUAAUUUUGACUAAAUUAAAAAUCAAUUGGCGGAUUGCAUUGCAAUUAUGGCCAAUUUGAUUUCAGUUAUGACCAAUCUAGUAGAUUGGCUAAAUUAAAUUGAAAUUCGAUGCGAAUUAAUACUUUGUUUAAUUCCGAGCUUCUUGAUGAGAUAAAACCAAAUAAAUAUUCGUUCAAAUAAAUUAUUUUUAGGAACAAAAUAUAUUCAAAUCAUGGUCUUACCCAUUUGAAUUAAUUUUUCAAGAUAAGGCUUGAUUAAAAUUCAAUAUUUCGUAAAAUAGAUAUUUAUAUAACAAACUUAAUUUAAUUUCGUAUAAUUGAAUACGAUAAUAUAUAUCGCUACUUAAAAUGAAUUUUUUUUUAGAUAAAUGCUUUGAAAUGCCUUUAUCCGAAAAAAGUAAAAAUAUUGCAAUUUUAUUUAAAAUCGAAGAAGCUCGAAAUUAAACUUAGUUGUGGAGGGCAAAACUUAGGUGUCAACACUCCAAAUUCACGAAGUUUAUUGUUAUCGCUAUCCUGUAUGCUUAAACUUGUUCUAUAUAUCUGAUGCAAAGUCUUAGCCUACAAAAUAAAUGAUUAAACAAACAUUAAUAUGAUAAUCUAUAACAACAUUAAGAUGCAUAAACUCUAAACAACCUAGUUUACACUUCCUAAUUAUCUAUUUUUUAUUUUUCAAUCAACUAAACUUUCAAUCAUCAACCUCGGUAAAUAGCAACUACGUCAAAAGCUAACACAAUGUGAUUUAUAACACAAAAUGUCUUUUAUAUUGUCAAACAACACAUAAUGUCAUGGCCCACCAAAACUUACAUAAGGAAGCUGAAAGUAAAGAAUAAUUAUGCAGAUAAUUAUAAGGUAAUAUUGUACCAAAAUUUUGUGUUUGCCUGCAAAACUCUGUUAACCUUGUCUAAAUUGAUGAGAUAGAUUAUUGAUCAAAUGACAAGUAAUCGUGUUAUACCACUGCACAUAUUCAUUGUCAUCUUCGAGACAUCAGGCUCAACAUUGUGAUUUCGUCUAUCCCUCCAGAUUUCAACCUCUUUAAUAAAAAAAAUAAUGCCAAUUAAAGUUAGUUCUACCUCUCUGAUCCAACUGAAAAUGUUUGGGAUCCCACAAUAUUCUAUUGGAAUAUUCUAAAUCAAUCCAAACUGACAUAGUACCCUAUCUGGAUAGUGUCACUCAACUGCAUCCCAAGCUAUUACGGGUAUAAUAGCUCGCCAAACACUGAAACCAUUCACACAAAAAUAUGGUAAUGUAGCAAAAACAUCGGGACUAUAUGGCUGCCACGCAAACUAUAUACAUAUAAAUUUAGUUAGUUUUUACAACUUAAAAUAUUAAAUAAGAUAGAUAAAGCUAUUGUUCAAAAAAAAAAUACCUGAUGUUCUAUAAGUAAAUUCAGUUGAUCAUUAAAUAAAUAUAAUAGGUGAGGUGAUUCUGUAUCGUGGCUUAACCCAUUAGACCACACAUGAGCACGUGGUGGUCCUAGAAGGAUAGAAAUAAGCCACUCAUCAACUAGAAGAUUAGGAUCUCUCUGUGUCCUGAGAGGCAAAAUCCUCUCAUAUAUCCAUACCUUCACAUAUUUAUAUAAAUACAAUAAAUAAAUAUUAAAAAUUUAUUUCUUUAAGGAAAUAAAUUAAAGUAGCUAACCUGAAAUAAAAGUAUAAAACCACCAAUGACUCCAACAAACAUAUCUAUAAAGCACUGCAAGUGUUGCUGCACCCGAAGCAUACUGACCAAUUUUGGACAAAUUCACAAGCAAAUGUAGAUACAUCAACUUGACUUUGUUGCUCGAUGUAUCAACGGAAAGCAUGCCUCCAAUGAUCUACAACAAGUAAAAACGCACUCGUUGUUGAACAUCAACCUCACAACUCGCAUCAGUAAUCAAAGAAAGAUUUGUAAUAUGUUUAAUCAAAGAAGUCAUAAGCAAUCUGCCACCCUGAAAUUCUCGAUCAAUAUCUAUCGGUGUCUAACUAAGAAGAUCAACUACACGUGUGUGCCACUCUGUAGGGUCCAAGGCAAGAUUUGUUUCCAUCACAGGUAAUCUAUCGACUGGAAGCUCAUAUAAUAUAGCUACGUCCUUCAAUAUAAUUGUGGCCUCUACGAAGUUUAGAUGAAAUGUGUGUGUUUAUGAUCGCCAUCUUUCUACCAAUGCAAUGAUCAUAACGUGAUCAAGUGGCGUGUGUCCAGUUGCAUAUAUACCAUAAAAUCCAGCAUCGAGCAAGUAACGACACAUAUGCUCAUGUAAUGAAUUUUUACUUAUGUAGUCCCAAAAGUCACCAUCUUACCGAUGACAUGUCAAUGAGUCACAUGUUCCAUUAUUUCAAAUAUCUUCACAACAAUGACUAAUCUGUCCUGCAAGGACACUCGAAAUAAAUGAAUUUGGAUGCACAGUAGGUGGUGUCAUAAGACCUAAAAUAUAAAUUAUGUAUUUGUUUAAUUUAAAAAUUAUUCAGUAUGACAAGCUAAAUAGUGACAUUCACCAAGACUAUCUUAUUAAAAAGCACAAAGGCUAGAAUGGAAAAAAAAUGAAGUUAACUGAUUGCUAAGAGAACUUUAAAUAAAUCAAUAUUACAAAAAUAUUCUAUAGAAUACUAUUUGUUAUAUUCAUAUUCUAUAAGAAAAAAAAAACAAUAAUAGUAGCACAAAAAUACUAUAACGAAAAAGUAAAUGUGAUAAAAGAUUACUAAAGAAAUUUUAAGAGUAACCACAAAUAAUGUAAGCAUAGAGUUACCUUUUUUAAUUUGGAUGAUGAUUAAUGUUCUAAAUUUUCAUCUUUCAAAUAAUAUUGUGAAGUUUAAUUUUUUAAUGUGUUAAAUAAAGUUUGCAGGGUCUUAUCUUGGAGAAAACUACAAUGGUGAAGAUGGGGGACCUCAGGUAAAGUUAAGAUUUUAUUUUAGUAAAGUUGAGAUGAAGUGAAGAUAAAGAAUCAUUUUUGAAAAUAACUCUUAAGGGUGUUUUUGUAAUUUGAUUGAAGAUGCAUUGCUAAGAUGAGUCUAUAGUGUGUGAGAAAAUGGUCCUCUAUUGUCCCAUCAAUUCAGAAAAUGACGGUCUUUUCAGAUUUUGGGAUGAUAAAAUUUAUAUUGAAGGUGCAUUGAAAAAAUGAGUCUUUCUUCAAAAUGUAAAAUUCACACAAGGCUCAUGACUACUAAUGAUCCUUUCUUUAAAAUGUUAAACAUUCACUGAAGACUCGUGAGAGUAGAGCACCUUUAGUGUAAAUACAUUUAUCGGUUCGUCAGUUUUUUAACGUGAAACUUACACACUGAAGGUGCCCCAUAAACCAUGCGGUUUCACCAUUUUAGUCAUAAAAAAUAUGACAAAUUCAUUUAUUGGAAUUGUCCCUUAUUUAACACUAUUUUGAUCCCAAAUUCAUAAAAAAAACUCCACAUUAUUAUCCCUUUCCAUCGCCAAUUGAUUCCUUGGGUGCAAAAUUUUCAUCCUUCUUGAAUAUUCUUCUCAAGGUGGAAAAAUUAGAUCAAUAUAAUAUGUCCAACACGUUUAAAUUUAUGUGGGUUAUUGAUCCACUUUAAUUAUUAGUUCAGCGUAUUUUGACUUAAUUUAUUUUAAUUUCAUAAAAUUAGGGUUGAUAUGUCAUAAGAAAUUUUAUUAAAAUAUUUUGAACUCAGUCAAACCCCAGCACAUCAGACAAAUUUAUACUUCUCUAAGUAUAGGAUGUUUUUUGUUAGUAUUCAACUUUUUGGUUAGUAUUUUGAGGCUAAAAUCCUAAUUUUUGACAAGUCUCCAAGACAAGACAGAAACUAACGAGGCAUUAUUUGCCUUCAUUUAAACUCCUUCUAGUCCUCAUGGUUUUAGGUUUGGCAACACUAUUCCAAUUAGGAAGGUGUGUUAUUAUUUUUUUAAACAUAUAGAGGGUACUAAUAUUUCUGGUCUUACAGUUAGCAAAUCCUAAUUUUUGGCUCUUAUGAACCAAAUACUUAUGACUUUUAUUUUUACUAAACAAGAAAAUAUAUCAUAUUUGUAUUAUGUCUGAAAUUAUUUUAUACUCAAAUAUGGAAUAACAAUAUAAAUUUAAUUAAUACAAUUUUUGUAAUCAUUGAAUGGCACUAAUGUUAAUGAUUUAGUAAAUUUGUCAAGAUUUAUAAAUAUGUUGAGAGAAAUUAUUCCACUCUCAUUUUGCUCUCAUUUUGCAUGUGUUUUUUUGGUGUAAAUCCUACAAAAUGCCUGGACCUGCCUAGAGUAUAAACCCCCUAUUCACUUUUUUACCUUAUCUAUAACUUCGGUUCCAUAAUAUGAUAGAUAAACUGAAAGGCAAACUAAGAAAUUAACAUUUGGAGAACAAACGCAAUAUAUUCAAUAUUUUUCAUUUGAAGUGUGACAAACAUGACAUUGGUAUAUUUUUGUAAAUAUAAUACAUUCUUUUCGAAAGAGAAAAAGGGAUCAUGUGAUAAUUGAACCACACGGGUCUACUAGAAAAGAAAAAAUUGAAUCACAAGGAUCUAUUGUACCUAGCUUUACUCUAUAUUUCUGUAAGAGAUUAUAAUUGCAGCUCAAAUUUGUGACCUUCAGAUUACAUAUAACAACUUUACUGAUCACACCAAACCUCCCUUCAUGGGAACAGGUACUCCCAAUAGUUUUAUUUGCACUCUCCUUCAGCAUCUCAAGGUGCAGAUGACCAACACCAAUAUCAACAAACUCAUCAUGCAUUUCAUUCCACUCUAUGUUUGGGUCCCACAUUGCGUUGGUUUUUACAUUCGAGAUUUUACUUGGCGGAUAUAUGCUCAAUGGUGGAAUAUAGCUUCUCUAAAUAUACUUUUGACUAUACUUUUCAAGCGAUCUCUAAAAUUAGUAUGGCGUUAGGUCAAAUUUUUUACAGUGAUUUAAUUCUAGUUUCAGCAAACAAUUGACGAAUAUCAUAAUCAUUAUUCCAUUCAAACAUUUAUAACUUUCCCAAUGCAUAAUACAUUAUUACAUAUCAUACUCAAAAACCUUCUACAACAUAGCAAACCCUAAUUCCUAGAAAAAGGCAAAACCUUCCUAGGAAUAUUUACAGUACUCUUUUGCAAAAGAGUUUAUUAGGACACACCAAACAGAAAAAUCAGAAAUUGACUACUAGUGCAUAGUCUUAUUAUUCUUGCAUAUUUUUAUUAGGACACACCGAAGAGGAAACUGAGGAUUGAUGACUACUAAUAGUACUUGGUCUUAUUAUUUUUAUAUAUUCUUGUUUUAUUAUGCAUCUAAGAUAAUCUAUUGGGGUUUAAGUUCUUGGGAAUCACUAUCAGUAAUCCCAAUAGUUUCAUCUUCAGUUUCCUUGAUCAUCAUCUCAAGGUGCAUAUCAGUACCAAUAUCAACAUACUCAGUUGGCAUUUUGUCCCAAUCUAG
rnacentral:lncRNA from 1 species